rnacentral:lncRNA from 1 species
GAUCCUCGAGGCCGGCAAGGAGCUCGGAUUCUUCCAGGCUAGUACAAACCAACCGAUCCGUUGUCAUCUUUGAAUGCAUGUUAAAAUCAGUCUAAGACUUUUUUUUGGGUUGUCAUGUAAAACAGGUCGUCAACCAUGGCGUCUCCAAACAGGUCAUGCGGGACAUGGAGGGCAUGUGCGAGCAGUUCUUCCAUUUGCCGGCAGUGGACAAGGCAUCGUUGUACUCGGAAGAGCGACACAAGCCAAACAGGCUCUUCUCCGGUGCUACCUAUGACACGGGGGGCGAGAAAUACUGGCGGGACUGCCUCCGCCUCGCCUGCCCCUUCCCAGUUGACGACAGCAUCAACGAAUGGCCCGAUACUCCCAANNNNNNNNNNUAGUUCUUCCAUUUGCCGGCAGCGGACAAGGCAUCGUUGUACUCGGAAGAGAAACACAAGCCAAACAGGCUCUUCUCCGGUGCUACCUAUGACACGGGGGGGCGAGAAAUACUGGCAGGACUACCUCCGUCUCGCCUUCCCCUUCCCAGUUGACGACAGCAUCAACGAAUGGCCCGAUACUCCCAAAGGGCUCCGNNNNNNNNNNNNNNNNNNNNNNNNNNNNNNNNNNNNNNNNNNNNNNNNNNNNNNNNNNNNNNNNNNNNNNNNNNNNNNNNNNNNNNNNNNNNNNNNNNNNAGUGCAUCUCCUUUUUUUAGGAUGUGAACUGACAUUGGUAUAAUGGAUAAGUUUAUGCAAGAAUGAGUCUUUUAACCCAUAAUGCUCGACAAAUGCUGACUGUGCUCAAAACUAACAUGACUUCAUGCUUCAUCAAAUUUUAGUCACACAAUUGAUGUCACAAGGUUAUUUUUAUUACUAAUUUUUAUGUUGUGGCGCACCAUAGGGACGUUAUCGAGAAGUUCACCAGCCAAACCAGAGACGUGGGGAAGGAAUUGUUGCGCCUCUUGUGUGAGGGUAUGGGGAUCCUGGCUGACUACUUUGAGGGAGAACUUAGCGGGGGUAAUGUGAUCCUCAACAUCAACCACUAUCCAUCUUGCCUGAACCCAGACAAAGCGCUUGGACAGCCGCCCCAUUGUGACCGAAAUCUCAUCACCCUCCUACUCCCUAGCGCUGUCAAUGGCCUCGAGGUCUCCUACAAGGGGGACUGGAUUAAGGUUGACCCUGCACCUAACGCAUUUGUUGUCAACUUCGGCCAACAACUCGAGGUAAUUGAUUGUUUGAGCAUUGUUNNNNNNNNNNGGCGCUGUCAAUGGCCUCGAGGUCUCCUACAAGGGAGACUGGAUUAAGGUUGACCCUGCACCUAACGCAUUUGUCGUCAACUUCGGCCAACAACUCGAGGUAAUUGAUUGUUUGAGCAUUGUUUGGUUCGAUAAACAAUACCAAGCUGAUUGAUUGGCUAUUCAUGUGGAUGCAGGUUGUGACAAAUGGGUUGUUAAAGAGCAUAGAGCACCGUGCAAUGACAAACUCAGCGCUUGCACGCACAUCGGUGGCUACCUUUAUCAUGCCUACUCAAGAAUGUCUUAUUGGUCCCGCGAAGGAGUUCCUUAGCAAAGAAAACCCACCGUGCUACCGCACCACCAUGUUUCGUGACUUCAUGCNNNNNNNNNNUCAUAGAGCACCGUGCAAUGACAAACUCGGCGCUUGCACGCAUAUUGGUCCCGCAAAGGAGUUCCUUAGUGAAGAAAACCCACCGUGCUACCGCACCACCAUGUUUCGUGACUUCAUGCGCAUCUACAAUGUUGUCAAGCUUGGGUCAUCGCUCAAUCUCACAACCAAUCUCAAGAACGUCCAGAAGGAGAUAUAAAGCAAAUCUACAAGGCUCCUUCAAGAUCUGGAAUUAUCCUAUUCCCACUUGUUAUGUUUCUUACCUAUGCCAUAGAUCUCAGUUGUGUCCAAUUGUUGCUAUGCAACAACUACAUGCACUUUGAUGAUUUAUAGCAAUAAAAUUAAUAAAUACAUGAUGAGUAUAAGACGUUAAUCAUCUUAGUGUUCAUUUGUUGUCAUUUACUUGUAAAUUAUCUUUUUAACACAGUACAGACACAAACGCUCAUAUAUACGCGCGUAUACUCACCCCUAUUAACACACACACGCACAUCCUAUCUCUAUGAGCACGUCCGAGAGACUGGGCUGGCAUACAUUUUUGCAGGAAUGCCUAGUAGUGGCAGGCGUCAAAUGGCGAGUAGUGACGAGCAAGGCACCCACGGGCUCCCGCCACUGACCUCCUGUCGCUGCUAUAAUGUCAUCAGUGGCGAGCGGGCACCCACCACCGUUAGAUCUUAUCAAGUGGCGGGCGCUGGUGAGUGCCCGCCAUUGGUGCAUGUUAACACUUGCGGUGAGUUGUACCUGCCACCCGCCACUGCUACCUCUUUAGCCUGCAACUAUAGCAGCUCCUAUGCAUUACAGGAUACAAAUAACCAUAUUACGACAUACAACUAACGUUAGUGAUCANNNNNNNNNNACUAACCUCCUGUCGCUGCUAUAAUGUCAUCAGUGGCGUGCGGGCACCCACCACUGUUAGAUCUUAUCCAGUGGCGGGCGCUGCUGAGUGCCCGCCAUUGGUGCAUGUUAACACUUGCGGUGAGCUGUACCUGCCACCCGCCACUUCUACCUCUUCAGCCUGCAACCAUAGCAGCUCCUAUGCAUUGCAGGAUACAAAUAACCAUAUUACGACAUACAACUAACGUUAGUGAUCANNNNNNNNNNNNNNNNNNNNNNNNNNNNNNNNNNNNNNNNNNNNNNNNNNNNNNNNNNNNNNNNNNNNNNNNNNNNNNNNNNNNNNNNNNNNNNNNNNNNUUUACAUGUGUGGAUACAUAGACAAAACACCGUCCCUAGCAUGCCUCUAGUUGGCUAGCCAGUUGAUCAAUGAUAGUCAGUGUCUUCUGAUUAUGAACAAAGUGUUGUUGCUUGAUAACUGGAUCACGUCAUUGGGAGAAUCACGUGAUGGACUAGACCCAAACUAAUAGACGUAGCAUGUUGAUCGUGUCAUUUUAUUGCUACUGUUUUCUGCAUGUCUAGUAUUCAUUCCUAUGACCAUGAGAUCAUAUAACUUACUGACACCGGAGGAAUGCUUUGUGUGUAUCAAACGUCGCAACGUAACUGGGUGACUAUAAAGAUGCUCUACAGGUAUCUCCGAAGGUGCUAGUUGAGUUAGUAUGGAUCAAGACUGGGAUUUGUCACUCCGUGUGACGGAGAGGUAUCUCGGGGCCCACUCGNNNNNNNNNNNNNNNNNNNNNNNNNNNNNNNNNNNNNNNNNNNNNNNNNNNNNNNNNNNNNNNNNNNNNNNNNNNNNNNNNNNNNNNNNNNNNNNNNNNNNNNGCAACAUCACACACAAGCCUUGCAAGCAAUGUAACUUAGUGUAAGUUGCGGGAUCUUGUAUUACGGAACGAGUAAAGAGACUUGCCGGUAAACGAGAUUGAAAUAGGUAUGCGGAUACUGACGAUCGAAUUUCGGGCAAGUAAUAUACCGAAGGACAAAGGGAAUGACAUACGGGAUUAUACGAAUCCUUGGCACUGAGGUUCAAACGAUAAGAUCUUCGUAGAAUAUGUAGGAUCCAAUAUGGGCAUCCAGGUCCCGCUAUUGGAUAUUGACCGAGGAGUCNNNNNNNNNNNNNNNNNNNNNNNNNNNNNNNNNNNNNNNNNNNNNNNNNNNNNNNNNNNNNNNNNNNNNNNNNNNNNNNNNNNNNNNNNNNNNNNNNNNNCGGAAACGAAGAUUGAUAUAUAGGAUGACCUCAUUUGAUUACCGGAAGAUUUUCGGAGUUACCGGGAAUGUAUCGGGAAUGACGAAUGGGUUCCGGGAGUUCACCGGGGGGGCAACCCAACCCGGGGAAGCCCAUAGGCCUUGAGGGCGGCACACCAGCCCUUAGUGGGCUGGUGGGACAGCCCAAAAGAGCCCUAUGCGCCUAGGAAGAAAAUCAAAGAAAAAAGAAAAAAAAAAGAGGUGGGAAGGGAAGGAAGGACUCCCACCCACCAAACCAAGUCCAACUCGGUUUGGCGGGGGGGAGCCUUCCCCCUUGGACUCGGCCGACCCCCUUGGGGCUCCUUGAGCCCCCAGGCAAGGUCCCCUCCCUCCCACCUAUAUAUACGGAGGUUUUAGGGCUGAUUUGAGACGACUUUUCCACGGCAGCCCGACCACAUACCUCCACGGUUUUUCCUCUAGAUCGCGUUUCUGUGGAGCACGGGCGGAGCCUUGCUGAGACAAGGUCAUCACCAACCUCCGGAGCGCCGUCACGCUGCCGGAGAACUCUUCUACCUCUCCGUCUCUCUUGCUGGAUCAAGAAGGCCGAGAUCAUCGUCGAGCUGUACGUGUGCUGAACGCGGAGGUGCCGUCCGUUUGGUACUAGAUCGUGGAACUGAUCGCGGGAUUGUUCGCGGGGCGGAUCGAGGGACGUGAGGACGUUCCACUACAUCAACCGCGUUUACUAACGCUUCUGCUGUACGGUCUACAAGGGUACGUAGAUCACUCAUCCCCUCCCAUAGAUGGACAUCACCAUGAUAGGUCUUCGUGCGUGUAGGAAAAUUUUUGUUUCCCAUGCGACGCUCCCCAACAGUGGCAUCAUGAGCUAGGUUCAUGCGUAGAUGUCUUCUCGAGUAGAACACAAAAGUUUUUGUGGGCGGUGAUGUGCGUUUUGCUGCCCUCCUUAGUCUUUUCUUGAUUCCGCGGUAUUGUUGGAUCGAAGCGGCUCGGACCGACAUUACUCAUACGCUUAUGAGAGACUGGUUUCAUCACUACGAGUAACUCCGUUGCUCAAAGAUGACUGGCGGGUGCCAGUUUCUCCAACUUUAGUUGAAUCGGAUUUGACCGAGGAGGUCCUUGNNNNNNNNNNGUACGCUUACGAGAGACUGGUUUCAUCGCUACGAGUAAUUCCGUUGCUCAAAGAUGACUGGCGGGUGUCAGUUUCUCCAACUUUAGUUGAAUCGGAUUUGACCGAGGAGGUCCUUGGAUGAGGUUAAAUAGCAACUCAUAUAUCUCCGUUGUGGUGUUUGCGUAAGUAAGAUGCGAUCCUACUAGAUACCCAUGGUCACCUCGUAAAACAUGCAACAACGAAAUUAGAGGACGUCUAGCUUGUUUUUGCAGGGUAUGCUUGUGAUGUGAUAUGGCCAACGAUGUGAUGUGAUAUAUUGGAUGUAUGAGAUGAUCAUGUUGUAAUAGAUAAUAUCGACUUGCACGUCGAUGGUACGGCAACCGGCAGGAGCCAUAGGGUUGUCUUUAUAACUAACGUUUGUGCUUGCAGAUGCGUUUACUAUUUUUCUAGGAUGUAGCUUUAGUAGUNNNNNNNNNNNNNNNNNNNNNNNNNNNNNNNNNNNNNNNNNNNNNNNNNNNNNNNNNNNNNNNNNNNNNNNNNNNNNNNNNNNNNNNNNNNNNNNNNNNNAGGAUCGUAUUCCAAAUAGGUUCAAAACGCUAAUAAGGGAAGGAGCGCAUGCCUUACUAUGGUCGCUUUGGUUAUGUAGAAAUGAUUUGAUUUUCAAUAACAAAAAUGCUUCUCCUUUGCAGGUUAUUUUUUGUUGUACGCACUCGCUUCAUAUGUGGUCUACGCUACAACGAGUGGAGUACCAACCGAUGUUUAAGGCGUUAUGUACGCGGUUGGAGCAGGUGGCUAUGGAAGUUUUUACCCAACAUGGGUGGCAACAUAAUCUCUGGAUAGGUCCACCAUCCCUUCCCGCCAAGUGUUUUCGGGGGAAGAGGAAUGGGGCCACUAUAAAAGAGAGGCCCGGCCUCCAUAGCAAGGAUUCCAUCGACUCUAAGAGGUUAAGAACCCUCCUUUGUACUUGUCGUCCACCUCAAGCAAUCCAGACAAGCAGGAGUAGGGUUUUACACCACAAAGUGGCCUGAACUUGGGUAAACUGCUCGUGUGUUCUUGUUCGCCUUCCUUAGCUCGAGCUAUAGGAUAGUCACGGUGAAAUUGAGAGGUAUAACAGGGAAUGAGAGCGAGCGCACCCCGGAGGUCUGCGGAGCCCUGAUUCCGUCAGUUUCUUGGAAUUCUUGACCUGCAAAUCAAGAAUGAGGCCCUACUUAGUAAGUGGUUGUUUAAACUUCUUACUUAGGAUGGUGUUUGGCAAACCAUGUUGCAUAACAAGUAUCUAGGCCAAAAGGCGGUGUUUCAGACAUAUUGGAAACCUGACGACUCACACUUUUGGGCUGGCCUAGUGGUGCCAAAGAAACAUCUCAUUCGCUUUGGGUCUUUCACGAUAUCCAGGGGGAAGACAUGUGACUAGGCAAUGCCAGUCUCCGAGGACAAUAUCUAGCCCUGUACAACAUUGCUCAUGAUAAGAAUAAAACAAUUGCGUAGGUCCUCAGUUCAUUCCCCACUCAAUAUUUCAUUUAGGCAGGGUUUGAUUAGCCCCCGACUUAUGUCAUGGCAUAAUCUUUUAUCCCGUCUGGAUUUGAUCAAUUUGACACAAGGUCGAGAUGUGUUUCGCUGAAACCAUGCUACAUCGGGGUCUUCUACAGUAGACUCUAUGUAUCAUGUGCUCAUGCAUUCUGGGGUACUGGUGAAUAAUAACAGCAAAAUCUGGAAGUCAAAUAUUUGACUAAAAGUUAAAAUCUUCAUGUGUUAUCUUGGUAGGGGAUUUAUCCUAACCAAAGAUAACCUCGCACGAUGCAACUGGCCAGGGAGUAAGAAGUGUUGUUUUUGUACUCAUGAAGAGACAAUCAAACAUAUCUUCUUCCAAUACAAGUUUGCACGUUCUGCGUGGUCAGUCUUCCAAAUAGCGUCAAAUUUGUAUCCAUCCACAAGUAUAGCCAAUAUUUUUGGUCACUGGUUCGACGGUAUUCCAAAUAGGUUCAAAACGUUAUAAAGGUGGGAGCGUAUGCCUUACUAUGGCCGCUUUGGCUAUGUAGAGAUGAUUUCAUUUUCAAUAACAAAAAUGCUUCUCCUUUGCAGGUUAUUUCCCGUUGUACGCACUCGCUUCAUACGUGGUCUACGCUACAAUGAGUGGAGUACGAACCGCUGUUUAACGCGUUGUGUACGCGGUUGGAGCAGCUGGCUUCAGGAUGUAAGUGGGUUGUUCGCUGGACGCUCUUGGACUUGGCCACAUUGCCCAUUACAUUUUACGUGGGAUUAAGUGGUAGCCCAGUUAAUUUUUAUGCGGGACUUAUGACGUCCAUAUAUUGUCCAUAUAUUGCAACAUUCAUACUUUCUCAGAUAAAAAUACUCUAAAUCUUUCUUCAGAAAAAAAUAUACUUUCUGAGAUAAAAAUAUUGUCCAUAUACACUAACAAAAUAGACUUUCUCAGAUAAAAAUACUCCGAAUCUCUCUUCAGAUUAAUUCAACUGCCAUGUACAGAUAGCUACCUGUACAGGGCAGAUGAAUUAUACUAUAGCAAGGUGGAUAACACUAAACAAGUACUUACAACAACCUAAAAACUAGCAGCAACAAGGGUCGGGCAUAAUGACAAACAGAUAAAGAACAGGAUCAUCAGACACAACAGGUUAAAUUCACGGUCAUCAUCUGUGCAUCCAAAGUAGUGAUUAUGUUGAUAAGAGAGCCCUUGCCAUCUUUGGUGGGACGCAAGAAGGCAUAUAACUCUGCCACGAUUUCUUUUUCUAUAUCGGCAUUCAUCAAAGCUUGGCUGAAAGACUGCAGUGCAGCGAUGAGGAUAGAGGAAGUUUCUUCUGUGUCUUUGGGGACAUCAUGUUCAGUUUCUGAUUCCUCCUACUACAAAGAGGGAUUUCAGUGUAAACAAUAAAUUGAACUGUAUGCAUAGACAGAAAGCUCUGCAAGGCUACAGAUUCUAAUGAUACAACAUCAGUUUACUUAAGCUCUUACACAGGUAGUGAAGGUUAAACAUGAUACUGUUCCACAAUACCAUCUCAGUUCUCAAAGUGGUAACCAUCAGAAAGAAUGUGUAGAGGCACAAAAAUUCUAAACCUCAUAUAUGGGCAAUGCAGGACUAUAUAAUAUCAUCGUACUACUAACAAACAAUCUCCAAACGAAUUUGUAUUGGAAACUUCUGCAAUUACUGCUUUGAACUUAUCCAACCGAGAGGGGGAACUCUUAACAUACUUUGCACUCUCUCUUAUAUUAUCUAUCACACCUUUCAUCACUGUCAACCCAUCUUGGAAAAUCAAAUUUAGCACAUGGCAUGCAUAACGAAUGUGAAAUAAUUCACCUUCAAUAGGCAUCAUAUGCUUGUUGUUCAGAUUUUUUCUUAGAUAGUCAACCAUUGUGCCAUUAACAGCUGCAUUGUCUAAUGUUAUACUAAAGAGUUUGUCUUCAAUGUUCCAAUCUUGCAAACUCUUUAACAAUACAUUAAACAUUGAUAUUCCAUUAUGUGGAGUCUCUACCAUAAGAAACCUUAUGAUCUGUUUUCUCAAAGCCCACUUUGUGACAAAAUGGCAAGUUAUGCAUAGAUAUGACAAAGUUUGAUUAGACGUCCACAUAUCAGCUGUUAAAGAGACUCUGCCUCUAUAUUUCUUGAAACCUUCACGGAAUUUUAAUCUCUCUUCAUUAAACUAUUCCAUGCAAUCAUCUUUAAUAGUACCUCUAGAAACCAUGCUAAACAAGGGAUUCAAGCUUUUCACAAAGUCUCAAAAGCCACUAUACUCAACAAAAGUGAUAAUUUGUGACGCUCAUUCCAUGACGAUUCACUGAAAAAACGUCACAGUUUGUGAAAUUAAGAUGAUUCCGUGACGUUUUUUCACUGAAUCAUCAUGGAAUGUGCGUCAUAGAUUAUCACAUUUGUUGUAGUAGGCAACUCAUCCAUUACUAUCAUUCUAGCCAGCAACUUCCUAGAUGCAAUCUGAUCAAAACUCCAUUGUUGAAGCAUAGAUCAUGAGGAGAUGAAAUUGAGGACUUCAACUUGUCAACAACAAGGGACAAAUCUGACCUUGUUUCGCAAGCAGCCAAGUGCAUUUGUACACCAUUAGUACCCACGCCACGUCCAGCUGGAAACACCUCAAGACAGUGGUUGCACUGAGCUUUGACAAGUAUGUUAUGAUGAUAAAUAGGUUUGGCAUCCCUCCAAACAACAUAAGUUAAUCUUCCUGUCUUGCGGACUGUUAAUUGGCAAGCAUAAAAAUAAAGUCAACUCACAAGAACAUUUUUAAAGUUGUAACUGUAUACAAGAGUAAUUUUGGAAGAGAAUAACGAAGCCAACUCACUACGUGGUACAAAUGAAGUAGUAAGAGGAGAAGGGGAUCCUAAUAUAGAUGGUGACAUCGCGGACGACUUUCUUGAGGCUGCAACUCUUGCUAGAACCCCAAGGGAAGACCUCCAUGUGUUAGCCACCGGUGAUCCUACCAAUGGGAAUCUGGUCACUCUUUGACCAUGUGUCAUAGAUGGAGAGUCUCGACUCUAGAUAACAAAACAAAGAAAAUCAGACCCUGCUAUGAAAUUAAAGUAAGGUACAGAAGCAGAUUUGUGUUACGAAGUGAGGUUUAAUAUAUAAGCAGACCUGUAGCUCCUCUCUUGUAGCUCCUUGGAUAAAUUUCGUACGAGCAUGUUUCCUCUUCCCCUGCAGCUCCUCCUUUUGGUUUUUCCUCUUCUUAUCUUGCUUCUUCCUCUUCUCUUCCCUUUUCUCUUCCCUCUUCUCUUCCAUCCUUUUCCUUUUCGCCUUCUGCCUUUGUUUUUUCUUCUGCCUCUCUGCCCUGUAAUGCAAACGUUGGGGGUCAAAAUAGAAAUCAAAAAAUACAGUUAAUGUCACAGGAAAACACAUGAGGGCGAGGGACUUACUUCUGUUGCUCUUCAAUAGCAUUCCACACAUGUUGUUCCUGGUCCAUGGCUUCCCACUUUUCAGUUUGCUUGUCGAUUGUCAACGCCACUUGGUCGUCACCCAUGGUCACUUCAAUGAAAUUUGCAUUGAAAUGUCAUAUUAGAUGUUUCAGCAGAACAUAAGUUCCGAUUUGGUUCAUCUAACAUUCUAGGCUGGAACGAACUAAAGAUAGUCACUGAAAUGCAUCAAUUAGCAUCUGGGAAGGGUUCUGAAAUAUUUUAAUUUUUAAUUUUAUUAGAAAAUAUUUUAAGUUUGCGAUGAUCAGCAGCUGCGGCAUUAGAAUUCUUUCUCGAAACAUUUCAGACUGGUCAUUGGUUUUUCCUUUCCGGCCUCCACAAAGUGCGCUCUUAGUCUCCCGAUUCAUGGGGUGCCAGUCGAUGCCCUUCUUCCUGUUAGUGCUCAAGAUCAACCACACCAACUAAUUAUCCUAUCAGUACUGGCUGCUAUGCUAUCAGUGCUGGCUGCUAUGCUAUGCUAUCAGUAUAAGUCCAAAAAUAGAGCUCAGCAACAAACAACAGUAGUGCAAAAUUAGGGCGCGGUGGCAGAUAAGGAUUGUUUUCAUCUAGCUGCCAUCUCGAAGCGAUUAAGUAGCUGGGUUCAGAUUAAGUAGCUAGGUUCAUAUUAAAAUAUCAACAGUUCAUGCACCUGUUGUUAAAGGUUGCAAACAUUAAUACAUAUAUGUGUAAAGUGCUAGCAUGUAUGAUGAUUUCCUAACCCCCGCAAUGGCAAUGCUAUGGCUGCAUUUAAAUUAUGCAUCAAAUUAACAUCACGUAGAUUCAGAAAAGAAACUAAUCAUAAGCGUGUGACUCUACAAAAUGCAGUAAAUUAUGCAGCAAAUUAACAACACGUAGAUUCAGAAAAGAAACUAAUCAAACCCGCAGGCGCAACCAAUCAAAAUCGUUAAAGUCUAAGAGAAAGAAUGACAAGUCACUGACUGCUCUGCUCUUGUCGUGGUCGGGGACUCGUGCGCUCGUCCCUACCUUUUAACCAGAUCAUCUUGUUCUUCAGUCUCCCCUUGCUACAAAUAACAUCGCGGCAGCCAGGCCCGAGGGAUCCGCCGCCGUGGCUGGCUAGGGUUCGUCGCGGAGGAGAAGCUGGCUGUUGGGGAGGGGAGUGGAAGGUGAGGUCUGUGCAUACCUGGGAGCAGAAGAGGAGGAGGCGGGGGAGCAGGUGCCGGGAUUGGGGAAGGAGCAGCCACACAAGGCUCGGCUUUCUCCACGAUGACCCCCUUUGACGGCGAAGGAGGAGGGGGAGCCAAAGAUGGCAUCGGCAGGAUGAGGGAGAGAGAGCAGAGGAUGCAUUCCCGCAAGGCUCUGCUCGAUCCCCAGCGAUUUCCUUGGACGGCGGUGGCGGUGGCGGCGGCGCUAUGGAUCGGGAGCGGGAUGUGGUGGCACGGUGCGGUGGAGAUGGGGCGAACUAGGCCAUGGUUGCGAAAAUUAUGGACUAUCGAUGGGCUUUUCUGGGCUAUCUAUUUAUCCCAGUUAAUUUUUAUGGGUAUCCACAAAAGCCAUUUAAGAAUUAUUUUUUUAUGGAUGGCAUAUGUGGGACUAGUGGGUCCCAACGCCAUUUACAUCUGUAAGCUGGCUACGGAAGUUUUUACCCAACAUGGGUGGCAACAUAAUCUCCGGAUCGAUCCAUCAUCCCUUUCGAUAUAUGCAUAGUGUCGGUCUAUAUGACUCUACUCUCGUCGAUUUGUCGCUUUUUUCCUUUUUGUGAGACUUUACGUGUUUGGCUGUGUGCAUCGUAGUUAUGCAGAGGCCGGAUGUUACAAUGACUUGUAUCGGCUUGAUGAUAUAUUUAAAGAUAAUAAAAACACCUUUUAUCAAAAAAAAAGGAACAAAUCAAGUGUCCCCUAUCUGCGUGUUACCAAAUGACUACAUGGAUUAGAACCAUAAUACAUCAAACAAUUUUUAAUACAUGCAGGUAGUUGGCGAGUCUAGCAACAAGAAGUUUGCCGCUCUCAGGAUAAAUGACUAUUUUUUCUUCAGUAAAAGAAAAUGUCUAUCCCGGUAAAAAAAAACUGUUACAGUUCUUUGUUUUGUUUGUUAGAUUAUAAUCGUAACAAGUUAAAGUACUAGUUNNNNNNNNNNNNNNNNNNNNNNNNNNNNNNNNNNNNNNNNNNNNNNNNNNNNNNNNNNNNNNNNNNNNNNNNNNNGUAAAGAAUGACAUAUAACAUGUACAAUCAAUAUUUAUCAAACUGUAUCCCCUCAAAAAGGGAAAAACAUUGUAUGUCACAUUCUUGUGGGAUGCCAAGUCGCCGUCAAUUCAUGAUAGGAAAUAUUUUUCUUUUCAUGAAACUUUCCUUAUUUUUAAAUAUUCAUAAACAACAUUACCGGCUUUUGAAAAUGCUUUGCUCAACGUUGAGAAUUUAAAACAUUAGAAUUUCAAUUUUCUACGGUUUAUUUUAUUUUUAAAUUCUGAACUUCUAAAGUUUUGGACUUCAGAAAUUUUAGGCGUGUAAACAUGUGAUAUAUCUUAUUUAUUUUCAGAAAAUAUGCAUUGAGAGAAUAUCUAGAAAGAAACUUAUUGAGCAUAUUCCCAUGGACAUGUGUAAACGCGCGAUAUAUCUUGGUUAUUCUCUUUUUACAGAUCUUACAUCUAGGGGCCAUAUAUUUAGCAUGCACAUUUCUUUAAAUAUUAGUAUGAGAAGGAUCGCUCUAGGUUAGCAUUUUUCAAUUUAAUAUAGAUUUUACACUACUAUGAAUCAUUAGUACUUCACCACAUACAUAUAUAAUCUUUCAUUUGAAUAUGUAUCUGUUUCUAUAUUUAAAAUAUUAUUAUCCAUUAUGUAUCUGAGAUGUAUAUGUUUUAGAAAAUUAGGGAAAAUGCGCUUUUAAAUUAUGUCAAUGCUAUCCAACGUGAGUUCACUGCCAAGAUUGAUAUGUGAUGCAUGCACAUCUGUAUUUCUUUUAAUUACGAGUUUAUUUGAUAAAUGGAGAUUUCUUUUUGGAAGAGAUAACACAACAGUUUACAUACUUAUGUUAACCACAUCAACCAUAUGUUGCAUAUAUUAUAGAAAGGAGGGUAAUACUAAUUAAUAGGCACCUCAUGCAUGCGUACAUCUCCUUUUUUUAGGAUGUGAAGUGACAUUGGUAUAAUGGAUAAGUUUAUGCAAGAAUGAGUCUUUUGACCCAUAAUGCUAGACAAAUGCUGACUGAGCUCAAAACUAACAUGACUUCAUGCUCAUCAAAUCUUAGUCGCACAAUUGAUGUCAUAAGGUUAUUUUUAUUACUAAUUUUUAUGUUGUGGCGCACCAUAGGGACGUUAUCGAGAAGUUCACUAGCCAAACCAGAGACGUGGGGAAGGAAUUGUUGCGCCUCUUGUGUGACGGUAUGGGGAUCCGGGCUGACUACUUUGAGGGAGACCUUAGCGGGGGUAAUGUGAUCCUCAACAUCAACCACUAUCCAUCUUGCCCGAACCCAGACAAAGCGCUUGGACAGCCGCCCCAUUGUGACCGAAAUCUCAUCACCCUCCUACUCCCUAGCGCUGUCAAUGGCCUCGAGGUCUCCUACAAGGGGGACUGGAUUAAGGUUGACCCUGCACCUAACGCAUUUGUUGUCAACUUCGGCCAACAACUCGAGGUAAUUGAUUGUUUGAGCAUUGUUUGCUCCGAUAAACAACACCAAGCUGAUUGAUUGGCUAUUCAUGUGGAUGCAGGUUGUGACAAAUGGGUUGUUAAAGAGCAUAGAGCACCGUGCAAUGACAAACUCAGCGCUUGCACGCACAUCGGUGGCUACCUUUAUCAUGCCUACUCAAGAAUGUCUUAUUGGUCCCGCGAAGGAGUUCCUUAGCAAAGAAAACCCACCGUGCUACCGCACCACCAUGUUUCGUGACUUCAUGCGCAUCUACAAUGUUGUCAAGCUUGGGUCAUCGCUCAAUCUCACAACCAAUCUCAAGAACGUCCAGAAGGAGAUAUAAAGCAAAUCUACAGGACUCCUUCAAGAUCUCGAAUUAUCCUAUUCCCACUUGUUAUGUUUCUUACCUAUGCCAUAGAUCUCAGUUGUGUCCAAUUGUUGCUAUGCAACAACUACAUGCACUUUGAUGAUUUAUAGCAAUAAAAUUAAUAAAUACAUGAUGAGUAUAAGACGUUAAUCAUCUUAGUGUUCAUUUGUUGUCAUUUACUUGUAAAUUAUCUUUUUAACACAGUACAGACACAAACGCUCAUAUAUACGCGCGUAUACUCACCCCUAUUAACACACACACGCACAUCCUAUCUCUAUGAGCACGUCCGAGAGACUGGGCCGGCAUACGCUAUUGCAGGAAUGCCUAGUAGUGGCGGGUGUCAAAUGGCCAGCAGUGACGGGCAAGGCACCCACGGGCUCCCGCCACUAACCUCCUGUCGCUGCUAUAAUGUCAUCAGUGGCGUGCGGGCACCCACCACUGUUAGAUCUUAUCCAGUGGCGGGCGCUGCUGAGUGCCCGCCAUUGGUGCAUGUUAACACUUGCGGUGAGCUGUACCUGCCACCCGCCACUUCUACCUCUUCAGCCUGCAACCAUAGCAGCUCCUAUGCAUUGCAGGAUACAAAUAACCAUAUUACGACAUACAACUAACGUUAGUGAUCAUACAUAUUACAUUUAACAUAGAAAUAAUCUAAACUUCAUACACAUAGAUGUAUGCAUUGCUGUACAACAAGUCAUAUCGCUUCAUUACUACGUACACAUGCAUACAAGUCCUCAUGACAACAACAAUACGAUAAUGACAAUGAGCAGGAUAAAGAUAAUCAAAUUCUUUACUCGUCUAGUUGUCCAUAUGGUCUUGCAUACUUCAUAGUUGAUUUCCUCUUCACAGAUGUAGUUGGCAUAAUGAUCCUCAGCUUCUCUGCGGACGUAGUUGGCAUAAUGACCUUCAUCUUCUUUGCGGACGUAGUUCGCAUAAUGACGGAUUUGUAGCAGCUAUUUUUGUAACCGUUUGUUAGAGCAUAUUUAUCCAUGUGUGGUUUUGGCAAAUGAUAACAAUCCCUAUUGACGAAUGGUUGCCUUAAGUUAUAUUCGGAAGAUUUGUCCAUAGAAACUUCGUGAAGUCCAUCUAUUGGUUUCAAGGAGUUUAUACGGUGAGCAAGGUGGUAUGCAAGGUUUUAUCCAAAGAUUGGUCACAGAGAAGAUAAGAUACAAGGUUAAUCAAGACUAAGUCAAGGAGUGAAUCAAGUUUAUCAACACACAAAGCGUACAAGAUUUAUCGAGAGGGAUCAAGUGAUUCCAUGGUAUGGGAAGCAUUGUCCAUUACACUUUAUGUACUAACAUAUGGUCUUCAUGGGAGUUCUACACGGGGAUAGGUAUGUUUCCAUGGGCUUGCAUCAAGAGGGAGAUCUCAUACAACCCAUUGACGAUGACAACAAGUGGUGAUCGUCGUCAAGAUUGCGGUGUGCAAGUUCAAGUGGUGCAUCACGAAUAUAUCAAGCUGGAAGCUUGUCGUCCAUUGUGGUGACAAUGGGCUUGUGAAGAUGUGUCGAAGACUGGCUCACCCAUAGUAGAGUAUGGGGAGAAGUCGACUAGUCUUCAUAGAGCCAACACAAUCAAGAAAGGUGGUCCAUCUUGAUGAAGUAACAUCAUCAUCAUCCAGCUAAAGUGGACUAUGUGCAAGGUAUAGGUUUACCCUUUAUAGGAUACGGUUUAUAGGUUCGAUUGCCCUACUAUCAAGUGGGGCUCUCAAGUGAGUAGCUUGAUUGUAUCUUUCGUCGAGAGCUCAAACCAUUUACAUCCUUGCAUCAUCUUUCUUGGUUCUUGUUUGGUGUUUCUCUUUGUGAGUUUUAGAGCUUAUGGUUAUCUUCAUGACAAGCUUGAGUUCAUCGAAAACGAAAUCCAUAUGAUUCUUCUAUGAUGUUUUUGAUGUUGGAGUUUUUGCUAGUUCCUCAUUCAUAGAAGUUUAAAAUCUCUAUAUCAUUGGAAUUUCGUAACUUUGUUGUUGGAUAGCUCUUGUCGUCCUGAAUCCUACAAGCUUGAGCUUGCUCAGUUUGGAGCUCAUUUGCACAAGUUAUGAAAGUUUUGGUGUUCCUGGAUUCAUUUUUUGCUUUUGUCCUAUUCCGGAAAGAUCUGAGUGGUAGUCCCGCUCCUAGUAGCGGUACUACCUCUUAUCUGCAGCAGUAAUGCCCUUGUCAGCGGUAGUACCGCUCUCGGGCUGUAGUGCCCCUGGCUAGUACCGUUGGUUAUGUCCUGGCCUUGGGUUUCGACACUUUUUGUGUUGGACUGGGCGGUUUCUAGAUGGUAGUUCAACGCGGUAGUACCGCUCGCAAGCGAUAGUACCGCUUGUUACUACCGCGCCACUUUCGUCCCUGUUUUCUCGGGGUGGAAUUAAUCCUCAGCGGAUCAUGAGCGGUAGUAGAAGGCGGUACUACCUCUUAUAUGCGAUAGUACCACUCCGACAGAACUACCACACACAUGCCUACCAUUAGAUAUGUGGCUCUGCCGCCCCGGUGAUAGUACCGCGCCCAACAUCGGUACUUCCUCUUAUCGGUGGUAGUACUACUCUCUGGAGUGGUACUACUGCUUGUGUGCGGGCUGAGGGGGUAGCGGUUGUAUUUUUACCCUCCUAUAAAAGGGGUUCUUCUUCCUCAUUGAACUCUAUCCUUUGAGCUUGUUUUUGCACCCCAUUGUUGACCUUCUUCAAGAUUGCUAACUCUCAUUCCCUCCAAUGAUUCUUGCUAGUUCUUGAGAGAAAGGAAAGAGGAGAUCUAGAUCUACAUUUCCACCAAUCAUUUUCUCCUCUGUGUGAGGGGAACCCUUUGGAUCUAGAUCUUGGAAUUCUUUGUGACCACCUUGUUAUUCCUCUCAUAUUCCUCCAUAGCUUUUCUUGUCGUGUAGGGAUUUAAAGUUGAGGGACUUGACCAUUUCGUGUUUUCUUUACAUUGCAAUAAUUGCAUCAGUUCGAGUUCUUGACGGUGAUAUGUGGACGUUAUGUUUGAGAAGCAUAUUGCUCUUGGGUGUUGGCCCCCCUAGAUCUUCUGUCUCUUGAGUGCUUUGGCGCCCUAGACGGUUGGUGGUACCUUGGAUCUUAAUCGUUGUGUCGUAAAGCUCUGGGCAAGUGUCGUGGUCUCUAAUUAGGUUGUGGAGAUUGCCCCAAGCAAUUGAGGUCACCUCGGAGCUGCAAUUCAUUGUGAUGAAGCUUCGUGGUGUUGUUGGGAGCCUCCAAUUAAGUUGUGAAGAUUGCCCAAACCUUGUUUAUACGGGUUUAGUGACCACCCUCAAGGGUCCCCUUGUGGAAUCACGACAUCUUGCAUUGUGCGAGUGCGUGAGGAGAUUACACUGGCCCUAGUGGCUUCUUGGGGAUCAUUGUGCCUCAACACCGAUUGAAACUGAGAUUAGCAUCCACAAUGGCGUGAACUUCGGUAUACAUCGUCGUUUCCGCGUGCGUCGGUUAUCUCUUACCCGAGCCCUUUACUUAUGCAUUUUACUUUAUGAUAUCCAUAUUGUUUCUUCUUAUAUAUCUUGCUAUCGUUCAGUUGUUUAUCUUGCUUAGCAUAAGUUGUUGGUGCACAUAGGUGAGCCUAAGUGUUUUAUGUUUUGUACUUGACUAAUUAAAUGUUAGUUUUAUUCCGUAUUUAUUCAAACGUAAAGUGUAAUUAUUUUAAAUCGCAUAUUCACCCCCCUCUAGGCGACAUCCACGUCCUUUCACCGCUCACUUGCUCCUUGCAUAUAUCCAAUGAAUCAUAAAUUCCAAGAUUCCUCCCGGUGUACACCAAAUACCAGUUCCACUUCAUCUACGUAAAUAAAUAAAGAAGGCAACAAGUCAAUUUCUUAGUUAUCCAAUCACAUCGACUGGAGUCACAUCUUAAUCUUCAUAGCAUCAUAGACAAUACAAGUCACCACAUUGCACAAUUCAUUAGUAGUUCGGAAGCACAUGUUUAGUUCCAUCAUAGAAACUUAUAAAUUUAGUUCACAAGCAUCGAUUAUAUAGAUCACAUGAAAGCAAUGCACUAAUUGUUCAGCUCCAUCGUAACUCGACGGAUUCUCGAUCACUCUCUGCGGCUACUCUGGAGCUCGCAGCGGCUACUCUAGCGCUCGCAGCGGCUGCUCUACUGCCUGUUGUGGAUGCUAUAGCAUUUGCAGCGGCUCCUCUAGCACUCUCUGGAUAUUAAUGCGCGCUCUCGGUGGCUGAUCGAUCACUCUCUACAUAGGCGAGCACGAUCUCGGUGUACAGAGCCACCCUCGCGACGAUGUCUACAACAAUAGGAAUUCCGUCUACGACUCUAGGAGUCUUAAUGAGGCGACUUGGCUUCUUCAUCUAGAUCACAUUAAACAAAUUGACAUUUAUAUAUGACAUUUAGAAAAACAAACAACAUUACCUUCGAUAGAAAUUUGACAUACUGAGUGGCAGAAAUUAAGCAAAACGAAACUUAAUCGACACUUCGCAAAAACAUUGGCAGUCACUAUGAAUACACCUACAUCAAGAAAAAACUAAUGUAUUAUAUGCUCAGUCAUAUUUUAAAGCAUUCACUUAAUAAGAUUUAAUGGUAUAUUUUAACUACAUAAAUAAAAUGUUGUAUGAAUAUUUGUAGAGAUUGGCAUCUAAAGACAUUGGCACUCACAACAAAUUUCAGCCACACUAAUAAAAUGGUGUACUAGAGUUUUAUUCAUAUGUUGUACAUUUUAACUAAACUAAUAAACUUGUACUGCAAGUAAAAUUAAUAGAGAGAAGGGAGGUGUGCUUAUCGUGUCGGAGUCGGGCGGUGGUCUAGACCAGGCGCAGAUUGAUGGAAGAGGCGUCAACGGAUGCCGAUUUAUACAGAGACAAGGACAACGUUGGAUGCGGAGGUAGGCACAGGCGAUGGUCACGGGGAAGUAGUUCGAUGUAGCAUUGCACGGAGAUGCAGAUUAACUUCGAGGCAGGGACAGACGACGCAGGCAACGGGGAAGAUGAGGUCCUUGACGCCGUUCGAGUCGGUGGAUGGCGACCUCGCAUGUGGCGAUGAACGAUGUCACGAUGCUAGCUGCGGCGAGAAAGGAGGGAGAAAGAGAGGGAGUUGAGAAAUGGAACUAACUCCCGUAGGGGUAGGUAAGGUGUUAUUUAGAAGUGACAGAAGCACAUUGACGACCGCCACCCCAGUAUAAGCGUGGGUGGCGGCAACAUGACCAAAUAUAGCAUUGACGAGCGACAUCCAGAACCAGCCACCCACUGCAUGAAAAUAUUUAAAAAUGUUUGACGUGAGGGUUCCCAAAUAUUGUUGUGGCGGGUAAGGCAGGCUGCCCGCCACAGAUAUGGGAACGAGCUAUGGCGGGCGGUGAAUUGCACCCGCCGCAGUAGCUUGUCAGUCGGGCACAAAUUGGAAAAAUCAUGUCUAUGGCGGGCACUUUUUGCCGCUCGCCACACCUACAUGUGUAGAUUUUAGCGCUCCCCACUGAUUGCUUUCAAAGUUAGCAAUGACGGGUGACACGCACCGCCCGCCCUUGACGGGAGUUCACCACAAGUAGAAAAUAGACCUUUUGUCUGGAGCUUUAGUCCCGCCCGGGUUUGGGCCCGAGACUAAUGUGAGCAUUAGUCCUCGUUCCAAUAGCUAGGAGCGGAUGGGGGCAUGGCUAGCAUUAUUCCAUGGUUCAAAUGGGACCUCUAGUCCCGGUGGGUGAUACCAACCGAGACUAAAAGGGUUGUGGCAGUCUGGACCCCGUGUGAGCCCCUUUAGUCCUGGUUGGUAUCACCAACCGGGAAUAAAGAUGGACCUUUAGUCUUGGUUGGUAUAUCCAACGGGUACUAAAGUCUUCCCUAUAUAAAGCUGCUUCGUCUAUCCCAAGUCCAAGCUUUCUCUCCUCUCUGUUUCCUUCCGCAACCUCGAGUUGAUCCUCCAUUUUUGCCAAGAUUCAUCAAGAUUGGCGGCACCCCAUCUAUCCAAGGGUUCUAAAAGGUUAGGAACUUCAUCCUUUCGUCUGUCAUUGCUAGUUUAGCUCGUUUCAUGCUCUAUAAGUACACUGAUUUGUGGGUUUUAAUUGGGGAAUAAAAAAAAAUUGAAUAAAAGGGGUUCCCCCCGGCUCCAUUUUAUGGAAGCAACGAAGCAAACAGAGUUUCAUACACACCCCAUAACCAACAUAGUAUCUCAGCUCAGAAACUACCAGAAAACUAAAAAGCGAAGCAUCUGAACGCAGGAAAUCCAGCUACAGCAGCUAGCACCAAAUAUUACAGACACAAAACAAACUCAUAGUUCCAGAACUAGAGGCUAAAACCAAGCGAUGCACAAUAAUUCUCCCUUGAAUUUGUCCAGCUUAGCGACGAAUUGGCGAAGGAGCUCCUCCUGCGUGGUGUCGCAAAGCACAUCCCAAUGUCGAAGGAAAGUUUGCACUUUCACAAGGAUGCAGGCUAGACUUCUCCAUGAACGACCCUGGAAACAAAAAUCAUUUCUCAAUCUCCAUAAACUCCACAAGGAAGCCGCAAGAAUCAUAUUUUGCACAGGUAUUUUCUUGUUUAGUUGCCACAAGGCACAGACGUCUUUAAAACAGGAAAUAUCAUACUCCGGAAAAGAAAUAGAGAACAGUUUCCACACACAUUUAGCUACCACACAAUCAAAGAAUAGAUGUUGCACCGAUUCCAUUUCAUUACAAAACAGACAAGUAGGAUCAUUAACAGUCCUACGUUUAGCUAAAUUGUCCCUAGUCAGCACCUUGUUAUACACACAUAGCCACAGGAACACAUGGAUCUUUUGAGGGCAAAGAAUUCUCCACAUAUUUUUCCCAAUGGUAGAAACCACACCCCCAAAAUUUAUCGCAUGAUAGAAAGAUUUUAACUGAAUAUACACCACUUUUUUCUAACAUCCAGAUGGGGGUAUCUGGAGCCUCUGAUAAGUGGACAGCUUGCAUAAUCGCUAGCAACUGAUUCCAUCUAAACAACCCAUUGUAAUCAACACAUCUCCUAAAAGAGAGUUUGAGAGUAACCUCAUCCCAUACUUGCGAAAUGGUGCAUUCAGGUUGGUUACAAAUGGAAUAUAAGUCCCAAAACUGCACUUUGAGGGAAGAGUCUCCAGACCAUAUAUCAUGCCAAAAUUUGAUAUUUUCCCCAUUGCCAACAAUCCACUUGUAAAAGUUCUUUGAGGCAUUCAAUGCCCAAGUGACACUCUUCCAAAAGGAGGAGCCAUUUUCAGCUUUAGCCCAAAAGAUAUUAGGGGAAACAGUGUUAUACUUGAAAGAAAUAACUUUUUUCCAGUCUUUAGGUUGUGGGUCCGAAAACCUUCUCCCCCAGGUGGCUAGGAGGGCCAUAUUAAAUUCUUUUAAGUUGGGUAUCCCCAUGCCCCCAAAAAUUUUCUUCCUGGUAAUCAGGCCCCAAUUAGCCAAAUGAUACUUGUGUUGGUCACCUACAUUCCCCCAGAAGAAAUGUGCCAUUUGGGAAUUAAUAGCAUCGAUCGCCCAUUUAGGGAACCUAAUCACCGUCAUCAAAUAGGCAAGAAUACUAACUAUACAAGAGCAAAGUAGUAUUAAUUUGCCCCUGUAAGAUAGAUGUUGACCCAGCCAGCCAGAAAUACAACUGAUAAUUCUAUCAAUGAUAGGUUGUAGAUCCUCUCUAUGCAAUUUAUCAAAAUGAAGGGGAACCCCCAAGUACUUGAUGGGAAAAGAGCCAAUCUUGCAACAAAAAAUAUGGGCAAAAGUUUUAGCAACUUCUUCUUCAAUAUUAAUGGUGAGAAGGUCACUCUUAUGAAAAUUAAUCUUCAUACCAGAAAGGUUUUCAAAACGGGACAGAACCCAUUUAAAAUUUCUAGCUUUGUCUUUUGAGUUAGCCAAAAAAAGAAGAGUGUCAUCCGCAUACUGCGGACUGACAAUCCCUCCAUUAACCACAUGAGGCAAAGGCCCUGAAAUCAAAUCCUGUUGAGCAGCUUGAAACAACAUUUUGGAAAACACAUCAGCCACUAAGUUGAAAAGAAGAGGAGAUAUAGGAUCCCCUUGUUUGAGACCUUUACCACCCACAAAAUAUGGGCCAGUUUCAUCAUUAAUACGGACACUGAAAGUACUUUUAAGAAUAACACUUUUGAUCCAGGAAAUCCACUUGAUCCCAUAACCCCUAGAUCUGAGCAUGUCAAAAAGAAAUUCCCAGCUUACCCUAUCAUAUGCUUUCUCAUAAUCUAGUUUGAGCACAAGCCCUUGGGUUUUGGAUCUCUUGAUCUCAUGGAUAACUUCAUGGGCCAAAACCACACUCUCCAAAAUAAAUCUUACUUCAAUAAAAGCACUUUGGUUUGAGGAGAUCAGUCUAUCCCCAAUAGGGGAUAAUCUGGUAGUCAUGGCCUUAGUUAGGAUCUUAACUGCACAAUUCCCAAGACUAAUAGGUCUGAACUUCUUCAUUUCUUUUGCAUUAACCUCUUUGGGAAUUAAAACAAUGAUGACAAAGUUCAGUUUAUAAAUAUCCAGUUUUUCCGUUUCAAAAUCGCUAACCAUUGCCAUAAAAUCAUUUUUAAUCAGAUCCCAAAAAACCUGAUAAAACAGGAAGGAAAGGGCAUCAGGACCUGGUGCACCAUGUGCAUAGGAACUGAAAAUGGCAUUCUUAAUUUCUUCUUCAGAAAAAUCUUGCUGGAGCACAUCAUUUUCCUCUUGAGUAACUAAUUCAUCCUCCUUCCAAAAGGAAGGACCCAGACUAAUAUUAUAUCUUUCUUCAAAACCAAAAAGAUUUUUGUAGAAAGAUGUGGCAAUCCCCAACAUCUCUUUAGUAGAAUGUACAUGGCCAUUGUCUCCCAUAAGCUCAAAGAGGUGAUUCUUCCUAUGACAAUGAUUAGCUAGAGCAUGGAAAUAUUUGUUGUUCUUAUCCCCAUCUAAGAUCUUCCUAUCCCUGGACCGCUGCCACAAGGCAGUCUCUUCCUUUUUCCAAAUAUCAUCCAGUUCAUUUUUAAUAGCUUCCAUACGAAUCCUAUUAGUUUCAUUUAAGCGGUUAGUUUCAGAAAACACAUCCAGGAUAUCAAAUUCUCGAAGAAGAUUUUUCUUCUUCUUCUUAAAGGCAGCCUCAAUAUUGAUGCUCCAGCCCUUAAUCUUUUUCCGGAGGAUUCUGGUUUUAUACAACCAAUUCUCAAUAGGCACAUUACAAUCAGUAGUGUUAGUCCAAGUCUUAUACACUAGAUCUUUGAAGUCAGGUUGGUCUAACCACCAUUUCUCGAAACGAAAAGGUUUGGGGGAGGUAACCCUCCUAGCUUUCGUAUCUAAUAAAAGAGGGGUAUGGUCACUUCCAACCCGAGGAAGACCAGAUAACACAGUAAGGGAAAACGAGCAUCCCAAGAAGUGGAAACAAGGACCCGAUCAAUCAUCGCAAAAAUAGGAUCAAUUUGGUUGUUACUCCAGGUAAAACUCCUAUUAGCUAUCUUGAUCUCCAUGAGGCCCCAUUUGUUAAUCCAAUCAUUGAAUAAGUAUGAAGAGUGAUUAUUAAUCAGCCCAUUGUUUUUGUCCAUGUUAGAUCUAACAAGGUUAAAAUCCCCACCAAACAACACGGGGUAGGAAAUUUGGGACACGAUAUCAUGUAACUCAGCAAUGAACUCCAUUUUUUUAUCGUUGUAGGCAGUACCAUAGUCAACAAUCAAUUGCCAAACAAAACCAUCAUCUUUAUUUUUAACAGUAAUAAUCAUGCAUAACUUCUUAUUAAUAACACCUACUAUCUCAAAAACAUUAUUCCUAAGGCCCACAAGGUUGCCCCCAGAGUGUUAACAGCAGGGAGAGUAUGCCAGCAAAAGUCCCUCCCCCCCCCCNNNNNNNNNNNNNNNNNNNNNNNNNNNNNNNNNNNNNNNNNNNNNNNNNNNNNNNNNNNNNNNNNNNNNNNNNNNNNNNNNNNNNNNNNNNNNNNNNNNNNNNNNNNNNNNNNNNNNNNNNNNNNNNNNNNNNNNNNNNNNNNNNNNNNNNNNNNNNNNNNNNNNNNNNNNNNNNNNNNNNNNNNNNNNNNNNNNNNNNNNNNNNNNNNNNNNNNNNNNNNNNNNNNNNNNNNNNNNNNNNNNNNNNNNNNNNNNNNNNNNNNNNNNNNNNNNNNNNNNNNNNNNNNNNNNNNNNNNNNNNNNNNNNNNNNNNNNNNNNNNNNNNNNNNNNNNNNNNNNNNNNNNNNNAAGUCCCUCCCCCCCCCCCACUAGAAAUGGUCUUCAGCAUGUGGUUCUCAAUAAUCUCUUUUUUGGUUUCAAAGAAACCCACAAAAUCAACUCUAUGUUUACUAAUAAAGUCUCCUAGGCACUGUAAUUUGCCAUGCUGCCCUAGACCUCUAAUGUUCCAAAAGGCACCAAUCAUGAGAUCUUAAACGGAUGGGAUAAGCCACAAGGCUUGCCUUUAGUAAGAAGAGUUGGACUAUUUGAAACUAAAACAACAGUGCCCCCUGUUUUAGUAUUAGGGAUAGUAACCGUAGAAGAGUUUUGAAACUGGUUUCCCACAUCUAGAUUGUCCGGGAGAACAAUCUUCGGGUUAAGAUCCGCAAAUUGAAGACAUCUUUUAUUCUCCUCAUCUAUCAUGUUGUUAAUAAUACAAUCUAGUUCAUUGUCAUUACUACCUAGACAAACAUCCACUUUCUUAGCAUAAGCAGCAAGGACAUUCUUAUCAAGACAGGAGAAAGAGUUACCUUUGAAAGUCUUGGGAAUCUCCAGAUUUUUCUUCUUUUGAUAGUCCUUAGCUUUAUCCAUAAUACUCAUGUCCCCAUGUCCUCUAGUAGUAGGCCUGAUGGAUAGAACUGGACCCCAUUUAGAAGAUUCCUCCUGAAAUUUCCCUUUCUUUUCUGAUUCAGAUUGUUCCAAGGUAUCAAGAAGAGAUCUCUUAGUGGAGCUGAAGAUCUUAAUCAUCUCAUCAGGGAGGCAUUGCAUCUCCGGAAUUUUGUCCAUACAUUCCUCAUCAGAUUCAGCCAUAUCAAAAAAAAAUAGUUGUUCAAAGCAGUAGUCCAUAUGGGCAGACAUAGGAAUUACACUAGGAUAAGUGGAUAUCCUCAUAGGAGAUACCACCAUAUCAUCCACAAUGUCACCUGGUUUGUUAGCCAUAAGAUCAUUAGAUUUAAUCUCUUUCAGGAAGUUUUCAUGGUCUCCAUCUGACAUAAAUUGAGGAUGGAACUCAGCUGCAGAAACAGCUCCAAUCUGUUUGUUACUAGUAGAAUAAACUGGCUUGCAACUCUGAACAGAAACUACAAGUUCACCAUCUAACACAGGCUGGGGGUGGGAAACCACUGCACAAACAACACUUUUUUGCUUGCUAUUAGCAUCAGAACCUGAGGUAUUAUUCUUAGUAAAGUUGGCCAUAUCUAGUUCAUCUAUUGGAUCAGCUUCAUCCUCCACACUACCCUUGUCAGUUAGAUCAUUACCUCCCAGAUCUUCUUCCUCCUCCUUAUCAUUGUCUAACCCAUCAUCAUCAGGAUCAUCUCCAUCACCUCCUUCAUCUCCAAUUUGAUCAAAUCCCUCAACCGUGAAGAAAACUACAUAGAGCUUCUUCUUCAUUUCUACUAACCUCUCAAAAGGAAUCUUGGCUGGGUCUCUACACGCAACUUUCACACGGAUAGUUUCAUAAAAGCUCUUAAAAAUACCAUUCCAAUCCACAUCCACAAGGAUGCGAAAGCAAGAGGUAAUUUGAGCAAAGACUUUCCACGCACACCAUUUAGGUGGAAUGCCUUCUAUCUGCACCCAAGCUUCAAUCAGUUCUCCAUAAGGAUUUAGCAUACCCUGCCAUUCAGCCACCUUUACAGAAACCCCAUCAAUAGGCAGAUCAAAAGGUGGGAACUCAAUCAGGUCCUCUACAUUUUUCCAAGGGGGAAACCUUAGGAGAAUUUUUUUGUCUUCAAGCUCCCUCAUCUGCCAAGGCCAUUCCUUGUUUUUGCAGAAGAUACCAUUUAGUUGCAUCAAUAACUCAGAGGUAGAAUCCUCACCUCUCACAGCAUGGAGCAGAGUGCAAUUUUUGUAGUUCAUCCAACUAGAUUCUACUGCCACAGGGACAUCCACAUGGUAAAAACCUAACCCAGCUGCAGCACUUCCAAAGUAUGUGGUUGUACGAUGUUGAUGAGCCCAAGCAGCAUAGUUAUUGACAUUAUGUCCACCCGCACAAAUAAAGCAUUUCUUGGGCUCAACACAAUUGCCAAUAUAGUGACCCGGCCAACUGCAAUUAAAGCAAGUCAUCUCCUUAUACCUGGGAUCUAAUGCUUGGACAGGAGGAGGAGUUGGGAUCACAAGGACCAAAGGAGCAAGCUGGGCAGGGUUACCCCCACCUGCUUGGUUCUUCCCGAGGGCCCCCCCUCCCCCCUUGUUCAGAACAGGCUUAGCAGCCAUAGGGGGAGGAGGUUGUUGAGGGAGGGGUUGAUCUUUCUGCUCAGGAGCAGCCUUCUUGCUGGGUUGGCGACGGGGAGGUCGCUGCUGUUGUUGACGACGUGGAUCCAUGUUCCCCUUCACCACCUCAGCAAAGGAAGGAGAUACAAGGCCAACUCCUUCCACCGAGAUCUUGAAUAGAGUUGGGACGGGAUCAAAUCUGCCUAAUCUCUUAACAGGGAAACAGUCAUCCUUGGAGAACACCGUGGAUCUAAAAAGAUCCUUCCUGAUCCAGAAUAUUUUUGGGAAGGGGGGUUAGGGUUCACUGGGGGCGGCUAGGAGGGAGGAGAGGGACGACGGGAUAUAGGGGAAGGAAUAACCCACAGCUGCCCAAAGUACUCCUCCACUGUUUCAUCCCAUCUAUGUCCCACAAGGGAAGACAUAUUCCUAGAUUGCGCUUUCCUCCCCGCCACACAUCCACUUAUGAGGGGAGGGGGAACUGGUUUGGGCCCACUGGCAGGGAUUUUUGGUGGGUGGCUACGUCUGUCCUCAGAGGACCCCACCGUUCCAUCUCCAAGCUCUGAACUAGAUAUGUACUGAUCUGGUUCGACUCUAUGUCCAUCAGACAUAAGAGCACCAAUAGGAGUACAAACUCCUAAAGCAGAAUCCCUGGUGUUUGAAACAGAAAAGUCACCUGACAUAAUUACCACAUCAGGAACAAUAUUUCCUGAUGGGUUGGCACUAUUAUGUGGCAUCUAGAUUUGCCCACCUAUUAGGGGUUUCAUAGGCAGCACCCCAUGCUGUUUCGAAGUAGAAACUCCAUCAACACAACCUAAACAGGUAACACUGUCUGAACUAAACUGAUCAGGAGCAUCCAUACUGUAUUCCGUUUGCUGGGGUGCAUUCUUUUGUUUUAAGGAAUUGCAAACCCGAUCACUGCAGGAUCCUACCAACCCAACAUCAAUCACAUGAGUAGAAACUCCACUUCUAGUUCCUCUAUCAACUUGUUUAGAGUUAUUUGACAGAUUUGCAGUGUCAGGAGUAGAAACUCCAUGCUUAGAACUAUCUAACAAAUCCCCUGUAUUCGACAGAAAUCGAACCUCGCCAGCAUCUCGGGAUGGAAUCCUAACACUGGGCUCAGCUACUUUUGGCAAAAAUUCAGGCAGCACCUCACGAACAUCAACAACAAAAUUAAUAUCGAAGUGUCGAUUAAUCAAAACUUCCCUAUCCCUAUCCCUACUCCAACUAGGAACCCGAGAGCCAUGAACAGAACCAUGAACAGAACCAAGAAGAGGAGCACGCACCUUAAUACGCGGAUGAAUCUCCCCUCGAUCUCCUGGCCAUGGCGGCGGUUCGAAGCGAUGACGCAGCUCCUUCCACGUCUGACGUCCUUGCCGCGAAGUGGUCCACCGCGAAGCACGCCCGCCAGGAGCCCGCGGGAUCAAGUGGCUUGAGGAGGUUGACCCCCGGCGGCAGCUCCUCGCGAGGAAUCUGGGAUAGCUCCAGCACCGACGGUGGGUUGAUGUUGAGGAGGAACGGAAUCAAUGACUUGAAUCGGCUCCACUUCCUCGCCACUCCUGGAUCUGAAUCCUCUGCCUCCCGCAUCGCCUAAUACACGAGCUCGUAGUCCAUGCCUCCGUCGUCACCGCAGAAACGUGCUCGUUCCGCAAAGGUCGCCAUGCGGAUUAUCUCCACCAUAAUCCUCGGCCAACUUGCUCGAUCCGGGAGUGGCGAGUAAUUAUAUGGGAGUCUUAUUUGAUUUAUAUACAAUCUGAGCUUAAAUUAACUUCUUAGUUUAUAUGUGUGUAGGUGUGGUUUACUUAGUGCCUUCCCGUCCUAGGUCCAUGUUUUGUGACUUCAGAGCGUCCUCGCGAAAAUCUAAAUCACACUCAUCGGAAAAAAAACGCCCAAGAAAGCGAAGAGUUCCACACCGAUCCGAGUUUCCAAAUGAAAAGCAUGUUUUCGAAUAGUAGAGGUCUCUUAGACUUGGUUAAACAUAAACAUGUCGGUGAUUCUGUAUGGGAAGAUGGAUUGGAUUUCGUGGCAAUUUCCGAGGCUAGUAAGUGUGACUUUCGCCCGCAUGUCCUUGAUCACCUAUCAGGUGGUUUUGACUCCGAAUGGCAUAGUAUACUAGCUCGUGGAAGGUCUGGAUGAAUUCUUCUUGGGAUUUUGACCACGGUCAUGGACUUGUUGGCCUCUUCGAUCGGUGAAUUUCAUAUAAAAUUUCACCUAAGAGAUAGGGCUAAAAUUUUACAUGGACUCUCAUCGCUGUCUAUGGGGCUGCCCGAGAUGAGCAUAAACGGGCCUUCCUUCGGGAAUUGGUAAACCUGGCCAAGGAUAACCCAUACCCAAUGCUCAUUGGAGUGGACUUUAAUAUCCUUAGGUGCCAGGAACAAAAAAAUAAUGAUCGCUUUGUAACUUGCUGGCCUUUCCUAUUCAACACUGUGAUAGACAGUUUGGUUCUUCGGGAGGCUAGUAUGUCGGGGCGGCAGUUCACUUGAGAUAAUAACCGAUCUGUGCCGACAUACGAGAAGCUCGAUAGGAUCCUCAUGAAUACCGAAUGUGAAUUAAAAUUUCCAUUUGUAACCAUACGAGCCCUAGAGUGUAUUGAGGCGUUAUCAGAUCAUGCACCCAUCAUUCUGGAUUCUAAUUCUAAAAACUCAUUUGCCCGGCGCCCUUUCAAAUUUGAAUUGGAAAUGCUGCAUCUAGAAGAAUUUGUAUACAUAAUCAAGAAUGUUUGGGAAAGUCUCACUAUUGGUCGCACGCCUAAUCAAAGAUGGAACUUUAAAAUAAGGGCCAUGAGGCAACACCUCAUUGGAUGGGCGAAACAUACCAACGGGAUAUACAAAAAGGGAAAAACGGUUGUGUAACAUCAUUGAUGACCUCAACAAAAAUGCUGAGACGCGCACCUUAUCUCAACAAGAGAUUGAAUUGAAAAAACAAUCUAAUGAGAAGGUUGCACAUCUUCUGCAUGACGAGGAGAUCAAAUACUACCAAAGAUCCAAAGCUGAUUUCAUUUUGAUGGGUGAUAGUAAUACAAGGUACUUCCAAUUGGUCACCAAUGGCCGGCAUAGGAAGAAAUGUAUUUACAGUCUCCAACAAGAUGAGGGGUGGAUCAAGGUCAGGAGGAGCUCACAAAAUAUAUCACAAAAUACUACAAAUCUCUAUUCGGGGCGACGUUGAAGGGAAUUUCACUCUUGACGAGACCCGAACAGAUGAUAUUGCACAAUUCAUGGAACAAGAAGAUGAUAUUCUUACAACAUCUUUCUCUGAAGAGGAGGUGAGAGAUGUGGUAUUCCAAAUGGAACACAACAAAGCUCCAGGCCCAGAUGGUUUCCCCGUAGAGUUCUAUCAGAAUUUAUGGGAUAUCAUCAAGUCUAACCUUUUGGAGUUGUUCAAUUGUCUUCAUCCUGACAAUCUUGACCUAUUCAGACUUAACUUUGGAGAGAUUGUCUUGUUGUUGAAGAUUAAGGAGGCAGAACAGAUCCAACAGUUCAGACCCAUAUGCCUCCUUAAUGUGAGCUUCAAAUUUUUCACCAAAGUGGCUACCAAUAGGUUAAGCUUAGUAGCUACCAUGUUGUUCGGCCAUCACAAAUGGCUUUCAUGAAAGUAAGAAAUAUACUCGAUGUUAUAGUAAUCCUGCAUGAGACCGUCCGCGAGAUGCACCGGAAAAACCUGAGUGGAGUCGUAUUCAAAAUCAACUUUGAAAAAUCCUAUGACAAGGUGAAAUGGUAUUUCCUCCAACAAGCUCUAAGGAUGAAAGGUUUCUCCGAUAAAUGGCGCUAGUAGAUCCAUAAAUUUAUAACUGGAGGUAGUGUGGCCAUCAAAGUCAAUGAUGACAUAGGCCAUUAUUUUCAGACAAAAGAAGGACUACGAUAGGGUGAUUCCAUACCCCCAAUGUUAUUUAACAUUGUCGCUAACAUGUUGGCUAUUCUGAUUGAGCUCGCGAAGCUAGACGACGAGAUUGCAGGAGUAGUGCCACACCUUGUGGAUGGUGGCCUCUCUAUUCCGCAAUACACCGAUGACACAAUUCUCUUUAUGGAACAUGACCUAGAUAAGGCUCAAAACCUAAAACGCAUGUUAUAAAUGUUUGAGCAAAUGACGGUCUGAAAAUUAACUUACAUAAAAGUGAACUUUUCUGCUUUGGAGAAGCUGUUGAGGUGGUGGCCGAUUAUGCUGACCUGUUUGGUUGCGCACAUGGCCAAUUCCCAAUGAAAUAUCUGGGAAUACCAAUUGAUUAUGGGUGUUUCACCAUUGCUAAGUAGAAGCAUGUAGAGGAGUGGCUAGAGAAAUGGCUUAGCAGUUGGAAAGGCAAGUUGCUUUUAGUUAGAGGACAACUGGUUUUAAUUAACUCUGUGCUCACAAAUAUGGUUCUAUAUAUGCUUUCUUUCUUCCAAAACUGACAAGGGGUCUGAUACAUCUCCAACGUAUCUAUAAUUUUUGAUGGUUUCAUGCUAUUAUCUUGUCAAACUUUGGAUGUUUUGUAUGUCUUUUAUAUCUUUUUUGGGACUAACCUAUUAACUCAGUGCCAAGUGCCAGUUCCUGUUUUUUCCGUGUUUUUGACCCUUUUCAGAGGAGGAUUUUAAACGGAAUCCAAACGGAACGAAACUUCCAAAAAUAUUUUUUCCGAAACAGAAGAUGAUCGGGAGACUUCAGAACCAAGGCAAAGGGUCACCAGGGACCCCACAAGCCCCCUAGCCGCGGCCACGGGGCCGCGCCUCUCAGGCUUGUGGGCUCCCUGGGCCUCCUCUGCCCUAGGUCUUUCGCCUAUAUAUUCCCUAAAAUCCCAGAAAAAAUCAUGAGAGCCACGAAAAUACUUUUCCACCGCCGCAAGCUUCUGUCUCCGCAAGAUGCCAUCUGGGGCAUGUUCUGGUGCACUGCCGGAGGGGGGAUUCGGAUACGGAGGGCUUCUUCAUCAACACCAUGACCUCUCCGAUGGUGCGUGAGUAGUUCACCAUAGACCUACGAGUCCAUAGCUAGUAGCUAGAUGGCUUCUUCUCUCUCUUGGAUCUUCAAUACAAAGUUCUCCAUGAUCUUCAUGGAGAUCUAUCUGAUGUAAUCUUCUUUUGCGGUGUGUUUGUCGAGAUCCGAUGAAUUGUGGAUUUAUCAUCAGAUUAUCUAUGAAUCUUAUUUGAGUUUCUUCUGAUCUCUUAUAUGCAUGAUUUCAUAUCCUUGUAAUUCUCUUCGAGUUGUGGGUUUUGUUUGGCCAACUUGAUCUAUGAUUCUUGCAAUGGGAGAAGUGCUUGGUUUCGGGUUCAUACCGUGCGGUGACCUCACCCAGUGAUAGAAGGGGUAGCGAGGCACGCAUCGUGUUGUUGCCAUCAAGGGUAAAAAGAUGGGGUUUUCAUCAUUAGUUCGAGUUUAUCCCUCUACAUCAUAUCAUCUUGUUUAAGGCGUUACUCUGUUCGUCAUGAACUCAAUACAUUAGAUGCAUGCUGGAUAGCGGUCGAUGUGUGGAGUAAUAGUAGUAGAUGCAGAAAGUAUCGGUCUACUUGUCUCGGACGUGAUGCCUAUAUGUAUGAUCAUUGCCUUAUAUAUCGUCAUGACUUUGCGCGGUUCUAUCAAUUGCUCGACAGUAAUUUGUUCACCCAUCGUAAUAUUUGCUAGUUUGAGAGAAGCCUCUAGUGAACACUAUGGCCCCCGGGUCUACUUCACAUCAUAUUUUCAGCCUUACACGUUUACUUCGUUGCACUUUCUGCCUUCAGAUCUCACUUUGCAAUAAAUCUUGAAGGGAUUGACAACCCCUUUAUAGCGUUGGGUGCAAGCUCUUUUGUGUUUGCGCAGGUACUCUGGACUUGACGCGAUUCUCCUACUGGAUUGAUACCUCGGUUCUCAAACUGAGGGAAAUACUUACAGCUCCUGAGCUACAUCACCCUUUCCUCUUCAAGGGAAAACCAGCGCAAGCCAAGUCUCCGUCAACGUGCCAAUUUCUGGCGCUGUUGUCUGUUGCCGUAGCAAAAGAAUUUCUGGCACCGUUGCCGGGGAGGAUCAAGUCAAGAACUCAUCCAAGUAAGUGUCGCAAACUCAUCUCUUGCAUUUACUUUUUUUGCCUCUCGUUUUCCUCUCCCCACUUCUGAAAAACAAAAAUUUACAAAAAAUGCCCUUUUCUUCGUUUGCCUUUUUCGUUUGCCUUUUUUGUUUGCCUUUUUCGUUCGCCCUUUCUUUCGCUUGCUUUCUGUUUGCUUGUGUUGCCAUGUGCCUUCAAUAUGCUUGCAUCUUCGCUUGCUGAAAAUCUAUUGAUAUGGAUCCUCAUCCACUUGCUAAUCUCUUUAAGAGAUCCAAUUAUGUUGAUCCAAUUGCUAGUGAGUUGAGUGCACUUGACUAUUUUUAUGGAGUUUUGCUUGAGAUGCGUGAAUCUGAAAAUCGUGAUGAAGAAAUUUAUAAAAUGAUUCACGAGGGCUCCUUGAAUGAAAAGCAUGAUUGCAAUGAUUUCAUUGUAAAUUCUAUUAAUGAAAAUCAUGCUAAAAAUAUGCAAAACCCUAAGCUUGGGUAUGCUAGUUUUGCUAUGUCCACUACUGGUUCAAUGAUCAUGAUUGGGGCAAUGAUUUUUCUUAUGAUCUUGAAAAUUUGUUUAAGCCUCAUGAUGAAUAUGAUUUUUGCAAUAAUAUUGAAAGUGGGUUUUGAGAAGUCAUGACUUUAGUUGAUGAUAAUCCCACUAUUUUUGAAGAGCGUCAACUUUGCAUGCAUGUGGAUCAUCAAAAGAAUGCUGUAGGUGCUGGUUAUAUUGUUGAAUUUGAUUAUCAUCCCGCAUGUAAUUGCUAUUAGAGAGGAAAAUAUUAUGGUAGAAACUUUCAUGUUACCAAAUUACCUCUCGUUAUGUUGAGAUUGCUAUUGCCUCUUUCUUCUUGCUUGCAUUUGGUAACUAUUGGUUGUCUUCACAAUCUGUUUUCCUAUAAAAUGCCUAGGCAUAGAAAGUAUGUUAGACUUAGAUAUGUUUGUCACAUGUUUCGUGAUGCUCUAUUCGUGUCCGGUUGCUAUCUUUUAUGUGAGCAUCAUUGAAUUAUCAAUGCCUAGCUAAGGGCGUUAAACAAUAGCGCUUGUUGGGAGGCAACCCAAUGAAUUUAUAUUUUUCUUUCUGUUUUGUUGCGUCCACACUAUCAUAAUUAUGUUAUGAUUGUGUCUUUGGUGUUUCUUUUUGUGUUUGAGCCAAGCAAAACCUUUAUGACUAGUCUUGGUGAUAGUUGUUUGAUCCUGUUGGAAAAAGACAUAAACUUUUCGAUCACGAGAUUAUUUUUUAUUUCUAUUCAGAAAGAGAUUUUGAGUUGAUUCUUUUUGCUGCUGGUUGAUAAGCCUUUUUCCCAGACAGUCGUAAUUUUUUAGAAUUUUUGAGGUACCAGAAGUAUACGAAGUAUACAGAUCUCUACAGACUGGUCUGUUUUUGACAGAUUCUGUUUUUGUUGAGUUGGUUGCUUGUUUUGAUGAAACUAUGGAUAGUAUGGGGGUACUAGCAAUGGAAAAGUGAGGAUACAGUAAUCUAACACCAAUAUAAAUAGAAAUCAAGAUUGCUAUAGUACCUAAGGAGGUGGUAGUUUGUUUUCUUGUGCUAAUGUUAUCACGAGUUUCUGUUUAUGUUUUGUGUUGUGAAGUUUUCAAGUUUUGGGUCAUGUUCUCAUGGAAAAAGGGAUAAAGAGUGGAAAGAGCUCAAGCUUGGGGAUUCCCAAGGCAUCCCAAGCCAAAUUCAAGGACACCGAAAGUCCUAAGCUUGGGGAUGCCCCGGGAAGGCAUCCCCUCUUUCGUCUUCAAUCCAUCCGUAACAUUACUUGGAGCUAUAUUUUUAUUCACCACAUGAUAUGUGUUUUGCUUGGAGCGUCUUGUAUCAUAGGAGUAUUCUUUUUCUGUGUCACAAUCAUCCUUGCUGCACACCUUUUGAGAGAGACAUGCACUCAUCGUGAUUUUGCUAGAAUGCUCAUUGUGCUUCACUUAUAUCUUUUGAGCUUGAUAAUUUUGCUCUAUGUGCUUCACUUAGAUCUUUUAGAGCACGGCGGUGCGUAACUUGGUAGUUGGCUUGUGCUAAGAAAGUAGUCCCAAAGGUGAUAGGUACCCAAAGAGGAUACAAAAACUUCCAUCUUCAUGUGCAUUGAGUAGAAAGAGAAGUUUGAUUCCUCUCAAUUAGUUUUGAGACGUGGAUUUGGUAAUAUUAAGAGUUAUGUUAGUAGGGUGUUGUGAAUCUAGAAAUACUUGUGUUGAAGUUAGUGAUUCCCGUAACAUGAAAGUAUGGUAAACCGCUAUGUUAGGAAGUCGGAGCAUAAUUGAUCUAUUGACUGUCAUCCUUUGUGUUGCGGUCGGGAUCACGCGAUGGUUAACACCUACCAACCCUUCCCCUAGGAGUAUGCGUUUAGCACUUUGUUUCGAUUACUAAUAAAAACUUUCGCAACAAGUAUGUGAGCUCUUCAUGACUCAUGUGAGUCCAUGGUAUAGAUGCACUUUCACCUUCCACCAUUUCUAGCGUCUCUAGUACCGCGCAAUUUUCGCUGGUGCACAAACCCACCAUAUGCCUUCCUCAAAACAGCCACCAUACCUACCUACUAUGGCAUUUUCAUAGCCAUUCCGAGAUAUAUUGCCAUGCAACUCCCACUGUUCAGUCUCAUGACUUGUGCCGUCACUCUCAUAUUUCCAUUGCAUGAUCGUAAGAUAGCUAGCGAGAUGUUUCAACGUCAUACGCCAAGCUAGAUCGUUGCACAUCCCAGUACAUUGCCGGAGGCAUGUCCUAUAGAGUCAUCAUCGUUCUGAGCUUUGAGUUGUGAGUAAAUAAAUGUGUGAUGAUCGUCAUUAUUAUAGCAUUGUCCCAUGUGAUUAAAUAAUAAUAAAAAGAGGCCAAAGAUGCCCACCAAAAAAAUAUGGAAAGAGGCCAAAGAGCCCAAACAAAUAAAAGAUAAAAAGAGAGAAGGGACAAUGCUACUAUCUUUUUCCACACUUGUGCUUCAUAAUAGCACCAUGUUCUUCAUGAUUGAGAGUCUCUCGUUUCGUCACCACCAUAUACUAGUGGGAAUCUUUAUUGUAUAACUUGGCUUUUAUAUUUCAAUGAUGAUCUUCCUCAAAAUUGACCUAGGUCUUCGUGAGCAAGCAAGUUGGAUGCACACCCACUAGUUCUCCUUUUGAGAUUUCACAUACUUAUAGCUCUAGUGCAUCCUUUGUAUGGCAAUCCCUACUCAUUCACAUUGAUAUCUAUUAACAGGCAUCUCCAUAACCCUUUGAUACGCCGAGUCAAUGUGACCAUCUCCUCCUUUUUGUCUCACAACCACCACCACACUCUAUUCCACCUAUAGUGCUAUAUCCAUUGCUCACGCUCAUGUAUUGCGUGAUAGUUGAAAAAAGGUUUGAGAAAGUAAGAGUGCGAAAACAAUUACUUGGCCAAUACCGGGGUUGUGUAUGAUUUACAUUAGUUGUGUGGGGAUGAUGGAGCAUAGCCAGACUAUAUGAUUUUGUAGGGAUAACUUUCUUUGGCCUUGUUAUUUCGAUAGUUCAUGAUUACCUUGCUAGUUUGCUUGAAGUAUUAUUGUUUUCAUGUCAAUAGAAAACUAUUGUUUUGAAUCUUACGGAUCUGAACAUUCAUGUCACAUGAAAGAAGUUACAAAGUAAAACUAUGCUAGGUAGAUUUCCACAUCAAAAAUUCAGUCUUUAUCACUUCCCUACUCGAGGACGAGCAUGAGUUAAGUUUGGGGAUGCUUGAUACGUCUCCAACGUAUCUAUAAUUUUUGAUGGUUUCAUGCUAUUAUCUUGUCAAAUUUUGGAUGUUUUGUAUGCCUUUUAUAUCUUUUUUGGGACUAACUUAUUAACUCAGUGCCAAGUGCUAGUUCCUGUUUUUUCCGUGUUUUUGACCCUUUUCAGAGGAGGAUUUUAAACAGAGUCCAAACGGAACGAAACUUCCAAAAAGAUUUUUUACGAAACAGAAGACGAUCGGGGGACUUGAGAACCAAGGCAGAGGGUCACCAGGGACCCCACAAGCCCCCUAGCCGCGGCCAGGGGGGCCCGCGCCUCCCAGGCUUGUGGGCUCCCUGGGCCUCCUCUGACCUAGGUCUUUCGCCUAUAUAUUCCCUAAAAUACCAGAAAAAAAUCAUGAGAGCCACGAAAAUACUUUUCCGCCGCCGCAAGCUUCUGUCUCCGCAAGAUCCCAUCUGGGGCACGUUCUGGUCCCUGUCGGAGGGGAGAGUCGGAUACGGAGGCCUUCUUCAUCAACACCAUGAGCUCUCCGAUGAUACGUGAGUAGUUCACCAUAGACCUAUGGGUCCAUAGCUAGUAGCUAGAUGGCUUCUUCUCUCUCUUGGAUCUUCAUGGAGAUCUAUCUGAUGUAAUCUUCUUUUGCGGUGUGUUUGUCGAGAUCCGAUGAAUUGUGGAUUUAUGAUCAGAUUAUCUAUGAAUCUUAUUUGAGUUUCUUCUGAUCUCUUAUAUGCAUGAUUUCAUAUCCUUGUAAUUCUCUAUGAUUCUUGCAAUGGGAGAAGUUCUUGGUUUUGGGUUCAUACCGUGUGGUGACCUCACCCAGUGACAGAAGGGGUAGUAAGGCACGCAUCGUGUUGUUGCCAUCAAGGGUAAAAAGACGGGGGUUUCAUCAUUGGUUUGAGUUUAUCCCUCUACAUCAUGUCAUCUUGCUUAAGGCCUUACUCUGUUCAUCAUGAACUCAAUACACUAGAUGCAUGAUGGAUAGCGAUCGAUGUGUGGGUUAAUAGUAGUAGAUGCAGAAAGUACCGGUCUACUUGUCUCGGACGUGAUGCCUAUAUGUAUGAUCAUUUCCUUAGAUAUAUUCAUGAAUUUGCGCUGUUCUAUCAAUUGCUCGACAGUAAUUUGGUCACCCACCGUAAUAUUUGCUAUUUUGAGAGAAGCCUCUAGUGAACACUGUGGCCCCCGGGUCUACUUCACAUUAUAUUUUCAGCCUUACACUUUUAUUUCGUUGCACUUUCCGCCUUCAGAUCUCACUUUGCAAUCAAUCUUGAAGGGAUUGACAACCCCUUUAUAGCGUUGGGUGCAAGCUCUUUCGUGUUUGCGCAGGUACUCUGGACUUGACGCGAUUCUCCUACUGGAUUGAUACCUUGGUUUUCAAACUGAGGGAAAUACUUACUGUUGUUGUGCUGCAUCACCCUUUCCUCUUCAAGGGAAAAACCAGCGCAAGCCAAGUCUCCGUCCACAUGCCAAUUUCUGGCGUUGUUGUGUGUUGCCAUAGCAGGGUCCUGCAAAGACUCAAUUAUUUUAGAUCUAGAAUAUUUUUGGCAAGGAGAUGGUGAAAAGAAAAAAUACAGACUCAUCAAAUGGAGUGUGGUUUGUAGGCCGAAAGACCAAGGUGGCUGUCGGCCCCCUCGGACCGGGGGUACCAAGGCCCAUCGGCAUGCGGCCCAACGUGCAACACGCUACACUAGCCUUGUUUGGCCCAUCGGCAAGCCUAGAAAGGAAGAACCUUGUGAGGGCCCUCGCCCGUGAGGCAAGCGCCAGAGGAUCGUCGCCAAGGACCACCAGGGGUCGCCCCCUGCAAGGACGCGUCCUAAGGCCACCCCUGAGGUUCUCGUCGGGGGGGCUCGUCGAGGGUGACCACGCAGGGUGUCAUGACCCUAAGCCUCCCCUGGGUGAUGCAGGGUGUGCAGGUGGUGCAGGAAUUGUGCGAGCGGGCAUGGAGAGGGAGGUUUUCCAAUUUCGUACCAAGGAAGUGGGGCCAGCUAACGACCUCCCAAAGCUUUUGGGGAACAUUGCAUGGGAAACAAAAAAAUUCCUACGCACACGAAGACCUAUCAUGGUGAUGAUCAUCUACGAGAGGGAGAUCGGAUCUACAUACCAUUGUAGAUUGCUAAGCCGGAAGUGUUAAGAAACGCGGUUGAUGUAGUCGAACGUCUUCGCGAUCCAAAUCGCCGCCGUCCCACGAUCCGUCUCAAUCUUCCACCGAACGGACGGCACCUCCGCAUUCAGCACACGUACAACUCGAUGACGAUCUCAGCCUUCUUGAUCCAACAAGAGAGACGGGGAAGUAGAUGAGUUCUCCGGCAGCGUGACGACGUGCCGGUGAUGGUGGUGCUCUAUUCCUGCAGGGCUUCGCCUAAGCACCACAGAAAUCUGAUCUAGAGGAAUAACUACAAACUAGAGGAGAGGGUAGCACGUGGCUGAAAUUGUGUCUCAAAAACCCUCAAACCUCUAGUAUAUAUAUGAGGAAGGAGGGGCUAGGCUUGCGCACCAAGGGAGCCUCCCGUGGGCACGGCCGAACUAGGAGAGGAGGAGUCCUCCUCAAAUCCUACUUGGAUUAGAACUCCUCCCCAAGUUGUCCACUUCUUUUGGUUUUUCCGCUUUUUACCUCAUGGGCUUUCUUUGGUUAACUAGUCAACCCAUCAAGGGUUGUUGCGCCACCAUAAAGUCCAUGUGACCCCCUUGGGGAGUGGUGGGCCCACCUGGUGGACCCCCGGUACCCAUUCGUCACUCCUAGUACACUUCUGGUAAUGCCCGAAAUCCUUCCGGAAUCCAAAUACCAACUUCCUAUAUAUCAAUCAUCGUUUCCGGACCAUUCCGGAACUCCUCGUGAUGUCCGGGAUCUCAUCCGAGACUCUGAACAAAACUUCGAUCACGAGCACCUACAACUCAACUAUACCGAAACAUCACCGAACCUUAAGUGUGCACACCCUGCGGGUUCGAGAACUAUGUAGACAUGACCUGAGACACUCUCCGGUCAAUAUCCAAUAGCGGGUCCUGGAUGUUCAUAUUGGAUCCUACAUAUUCUACGAAGAUCUUAUCGGUUGAACCUCUAUGUCAAGGAUUCAUAUAAUCACAUAUACCAUUCCCUUUGUCCUUCGGUAUGUUACUUGCCCGAGAUUCGAUCGUCGGUAUCUCCAUACCUAUUUCAAUCUCAUUACCGGCAACUCUCUUUACUCAUUCCGUAAUACAAGAUCCCGUAACUAACUCUUUAGUCACAUUGCUUGUAAGGCUUGUAUGUGAUGUUGUAUUACCGAGUGGGCCCCGAGAUACCUCUUUGUCACACGGAGUGACAAAUCCCAGUCAUGAUCCAUGGUAAGUCAAUGGACACCUUCGGAGAUGCCUGUAGAGUAAAUUUAUAGUCACCUAGUAAUGUUGCGACGUUUGAUACACACAAGGCAUUCCUCCGGUGUCAGUGAGUUACAUUAUGUCAUGGUCAUAGGAAUGAAUACUUGACAUGCAGAAAACAAUAGCAACAAAAUGACACGAUCAUAUGCUACGUUUGGGUCUUGUCCAUCACAUCAUUCUCCUAAUGAUGUGAUCCCGUCAUCAAGUGACAACACUUGUCUAUGGCUAGGAAACCUUAACCAUCCUUGAUCAACAGGCUAGUCAACUAGAGACUCACUAGGGACAUAGUUUUAUCUAUAUAUCCACACAUGCAUUUAUGUUUCCAUUCAAUACAGUUAUAGCAUGGAUAAUAAACGAUUAUCUUGAAACAAGAAAUAUAAUAAUAACAAUUUUAUUAUUGCCUCUAGGUCAUAUUUCCAACAAAAGCAACUCCCAAAGGCUCCCCAUUUGGUGCAAGAAGACUAGGGCUGGGGUCUCGGCAGGACGAAGGUCACCCCCGAGCCCACCGGUGCGUCACAGCCAACGAGCCGCCUCCAGCUCCGCGCGGUGAUUCACUCGGACCACAGCCCAAGGGGCCCGAGUAGGGUCCGCAUCGCGUUGUGCUCAUGCUCCUUCGGGUCCCAUUGACCGGCUUUGGGCCACCGUCGAGCCCCUACGGCGGCAUGCCCGAAAGAGUCGACGGGAUGUUCUGCGCUGAACACAACGCGCACACUCACAACACGGAGGACUGUCGGGUAAUUGGGUCUUCCCGCACUGAGCGUGCCAUCCGGUGCUGGAACCACGUCGCUCCUGUUGCUGGGUGUGAAGGUGACCGCGGCAUCACCGGAGGGGACGACCCCGGGGACCACCCUCACCAGGGUCGCCGCGACAAGCAGUGUGCCUCAAGAAGACGCUUGGCGCGGGUGGCCCCAUGGCACGCACGCCCAGGAUGGCGCCGCCCUACCCCCACGACCACGACCCCAGGGGGAAGGGUGUCACAUCACACAUUGGUAUCUGAUACGUCACAAAUGUAUCUAUAAUUUCUACUUGUUCCAUGAUCUUUCGGGUGACAUUGUUAUAUGUUUUGCUGCACUUUUAUAUCAUUUUACACAUAUUUGGACUAACCUGCUAACUCCAUGCACCCACUGCGAGUUUCUGUCUGCUGAUGUCUAUUUUGCAGGGGCUUUUACCCAAUUUUCCGAAGCCCGAAAAAAUCCUGAGAAAAAUAUAUAAAAAAUCAGCGUAAGGAAGCUCCGAGAUCACCGAAGAUGGGCCAGAGGGGGCCACGGGCCGCCCAGGCGACCUGUGGGCGCGACCCACCCCUAGGUCGCGCCAAGAGGCUGGGUGGGUGGGUCCCACCUCAUCUGAUGCCCUCCUUUGGCCUAUAUUUACUCCUCCUUGAGGAAACCCUUCCAUCACAUCUAGAAUCACGAAUUUCUCCAUUGUUCAACCGCCGCAGCGCUUCCGAGAUCGGGAGGGUCAGGAGACCUCUUCCCGGCACCCUGUCGGAGGGAGGAUUGACCUUCGGGAGCUUCUCCACCUCCAUGGACGUUUCCCGGACGUGCCGUGAGUAGUCCUCCUUGGACCAUGAGUCCAUGACUAGUAGCUAUGUGAUGUGUCCUCUCUAAUCUUAUUCUUCCAUGAUUAGUCCUUGUGAGCUGCCCUACAUGAUCAAGGCAUCUACGUAAUUCUCUUGCUAUUGCGAUGCUAGGUUUGUUGGGAUCCGAUGGAUUAUGAGAUCAUGUUCAGAUUUUUAUGAGUUAUUGAUAUCUCUCCAUCGUAUGUACUUUUCCAAACUCUUUUGCCCUUGUUUUGGACUCUAAUUUGCAUGAUUUGAAUGGAACAAACCCGGACUAACGCUGUUUUCAGCAGAAUUGCCAUGGUGUUGUUUUUGCGCAAAAAUAAAAGUUCUCGAAAUGACCUGGAAAUUUACGAGGAUUUUUUGUGGAAUAUAUGAAAAAAUACUGGCGCAACAAUUACCUGGAGAGACGGAGCCAGGAGCCCACAAGCCCAGGAAGCGCCCCCCCUGGCCGCGCCUAGCAGGCUUGUGAGGCCCUCAUGGCUCCGCAACCUCCAACUCCAGCUCUAUAUAUUCUCUCUCGCCCAGAAAAAUUUAAAGGAGAAGAGUUCAUCAUGUUUCACGACACAGAGCCGCCGCCACCACCCGUUCUUCCUCUGGAGGGCAGAUCUGGAGUCCGUUCUGGGCUCCGGAGAGGGGAAAUCGACGUCGUCGUCAUCACCAACCAUCCUUCAUCGCCAAUCCCAUGAUGCUCUUCACCGCUCGUGAGUAAUCUCAUCGUAGGCUUGCUGGACGGUGAUGGGUUGGAUGAGAUCUAUCAUGUAAUCGAGUUAGUUUUGAUGGGGUUUGAUCACUAGUAUCCACUAUGUUCUAAGAUUGAUGUUGCUACUACUUUGCUAUGCUUAAUGCUUGUUACUAGGGCCCGAGUGCCAUGAUUUCAGAUCUGAACCUAUUAUGUUUUCAUCAAUAUAUGUGUGUGCUUGAUCCUAUCUUGCAAGUUGUAGUCACCUACUAUGUGUUAUGACCCGGCAACCCCGGAGUGACAAUAGCCGGAACCAAUCCCGGAGAUGACCAUAGUAUGAGGAGUUCAUGUGUUCACUAAGUGCUAAUGCUUUGUUCCGGUUCUCUAUUAAAAGGAGACCUUAAUAUCCCUUAGUUUCCUUUAGGACCCGCUGUCAUGGGAGGGAUGGACAAUAGAUGUCAUGCAAGUUCUUUUCCAUAAGCAUGUAUGACUAAAUACGGAAUACAUGCCUACAUUACAUUGACGAACUGGAGCUAGCUACAAAUCAGCCCAUGCUAUAACUGUUACAUGAUGAUUGUCAUCCGACAUAAUUAUCCAUCACCGAUCCAAUGCCUACGAGUCUUUUCCUACUGGUCAUUGCUAAGUUACUGUUACCGCUACUGCUGUCACUACUGCUACUGUUAUCGAUGCUAUUGUUACCGCCGCUACCGUUACUACCACACUACUCUGCUACUGAAACUUUGCUGCAGAUACUAAGUCUUUCAGGUGUGGUUGAAUUGACAAAUCAACUGCUAAUACUCGAGAAUAUUAUUUGGCUUCCCCUUGUGUGGAAUCAACAAAUUUGGGUUGAAUUCUCUACCCUCGAAAACUGUUGCGAUCCCCUAUACUUGUGGGUUAUCAAGACUAUUUUCUGGCGCCGUUGCCGGGGAGACAUAACUCUAUUCUCUGAGUCACUUGGGAUUUACGCCUGUUGAUCACUAUGAGGAAUCCGAGAUAUCCAAAAACUAAAGUCUUGCCCUCAACUACGAGGACAGGUAAGGAACUGCCAUCUAGCUCUGCACUUGGUUCACUUUCAGUUAUGAGUAAAUUUGCGACACCACCAUCUACUAGAAAUUCUGAUGUGUCGCAUGUGCUUGAUGAUGCUACUUCUCCUAUCCAUGAUGCUUAUGAUGAUGCUUUGCUUGAUAAUGAUAUGCCACUAGGUGCAUUUCUUGAUGCACAAAUUGCUAGAGUUACUGCUGAAUGUGAUGAUACUUCUGAAACUGAUGAAAUUAUUGAAGUAGAACCUGUUGUUACACCUGUUAGACCUUGCUCUCCUAGAUAUGAAUUGUCUGAUAUACCUAAGGGUUAUGUUAUGGAGGGAGAGGUAGCUGAAGACUUUCUUGCUUGUAAGGAUAGCUAUGAUCUUGAGAAUUUAUUGCGCAAGUGGAAAGAAAAAUCUCUGAAUGCUAGAAUGAAAUAUGAUCCUGAGUUUCCUACUUUGCCCAUCUUUGUUACCGAUAAGGAUUGUGAAUUCUCUGUUUAUCCUGAGUUGAUCACUUUGGUUGAAUCUGAUCCUUUUCAUGGUUAUGAGUCUGAAACGGUUGUAGCACAUCUUACUAAACUAAAUGAUAUAGCCACCCUAUUCACGAGUGAGGAAAACAUUCGCCAUUACUAUAUCCUUAAGUUGUUUCCUUUCUCGCUAAAGGGUGAUGCUACGACUUGGUUUACUUCUCUUUCUCCUAGUUGUGUGCGUAGUCCCGGGAUAUGAUUUACCACUUCUUUGAGAAAUAUUUUCCUGCCCAUAAGAAACAAGCUGCCUUGCAGGAUAUAUAUAUAACUUUGUGCAAGUUGAAGAAGAGAGUCUCCCACAAGCUUGGGGGAGGCUUGUCCAGUUACUUAAUGCUUUGCCUAAUCACCCUCUUGAAUAGAAUGAAAUACUUGAUAUCUUUUAUAAUGGACUAAUCGAUGCUUCUAGGGACCACCUAGAUAGUUGUGAUGGUUGUGUUUUCAGGGAAAGAACUGUGGAACAAGCUGAAAUUCUAUUGAAUGAUAUCUUGAGCAAUGAUAAUGCUUGGACUAUUCCCGAACCACCUCCGAAUCCAACUCUGAAGAAAAGAGGUAUUCUAUUCCUCAGUCCUGAAGAUAUGCAAGAAUCCAAGAAAUAUGUGCAAGAGAAAGGUAUUAAAUCUGAAGAUGUUAAGAAUCUACCACCUAUUGAAGAAAUACAUGGUCUUGAUAACCCGACACAGGUAGUAGAGGUAAAUUCUCAUCGUAGAUUCAAUGAGAGUGAUAUUCCUUAUGAUAAACCUGCUAGCUUAUGCUUAGAUGAAUUUGAUAACUUUGUUGCCAAACAACAAAGUUUCAAUGAUUAUGUUAGCAGACAAUUGGAACAAAAUGCUCGCAUGAUUAAUCAUAUAAGUGCUUGUGUGGAUAGAAAUGUCAAUGAUCUUAAGGUUUAGAGUAAACAUGCCUCUAUGGUCACUACUCAAGUAGAACAAGUACUUAAGGCUCAAAAUGACGUGCUCAAUGAGUUGAAUGACAAUUCUGUUAGAGUCGUCACUAGAGGUGGUAGAAUGACUCGGGAACCUUUGUAUCCUGAGGGCCAUCCUAAGAGAAUUGAACAAGAUUCUCAAGGAGUUAACACUAAGGCACCUAGUCAUCCUGGUAAUAGGAAGAAAAAGAAAGAUGAUAGGAACUUGCAUGCUAGCAAACCAGUUGCUGUUACACGUGAGAAUCCAAAUGAUGUCUCUGUUUCUGAUGCCGAAACACAAUCUGGUGAUGAACAUGAGCCUAGUGAUAAUAUUGAUAGUGGUGUUCAUGUUGAUGCACAACCUAGGAAUGAUAAGGAUGUGGAGAUUGGACCUGCUGUUGAUCUUGAUAACCCAAAACCUAAGAACAGGAGAUAUGAUAAGAACGACUUUAUUGCUAGGAAGCAUGGUAAAGAAAGAGAACCGUGGGUUCAGAAACCCAUGCCCUUUCCUCCCAAACCAUCCAAGAAAAAGGAUGAUGAGGAUUUUGAGCGCUUUGUUGAAAUGAUUAGACCUGUCUUUCUGCAAAUGCGUUUGAUAGAUAUGCUCAAAAUGUCUCCUUAUGCUAAGUACAUGAAAGAUAUUGUGGCUAAUAAAAGGAAGAUACCUGAGGUUGAGAUUUCCAUCAUGCUUGCUAAUUACACCUUCAAGGGUGGAACUCCUAAGAAACUAGGUGAUCCUGGAGUACCCACUAUACCUUGCUCCAUUAAAGGAAAUUAUGUUAGAACUGCUUUAUGCGAUCUUGGAGCUGGUGUUAGUGUGAUGCCUCUCUCUUUAUAUCGUAGACUUGAAUUGGAUAAGUUGACACCCACUAAAAUGUCUUUGCAAAUGGCCGACAAAUCAAGUGCUUUUCCUAUCGGCAUUUGCGAGACUGUGCCUGUUGUGGUUGCUAACGUUACUAUCUUAACAAACUUUGUUAUUUUGGAUAUUCCCGAGGAUGAUGCCAUGGCGGUCAUCCUUGGAAGACCCUUUUUAAACACUGCAGGGGUUGUUAUUGAUUGCAACAAAGGCAAUGUCAAUUUCCAUGUUAAUGGUAAUGAGCACACGGUGCACUUUCCGAAGAAACAAUAUCGAGUACAUUGCAUCAAUGCUAUUGAAAAAUCUUCAUCAAUUCUUAUUGGAAGCUUUGAAUGCCCUAUACCUCUGUCAAGAUGAAGUAUGAUUUGCUUGUUGGGGAUAUGCACAUCCCCGUUGAGGUAACCUAGUGAUUAUUCAAAAAUUCUCCGGUUUUAUGUGAUUCAAAAAAAGUUUUUCAAGGAGACUUGAUCAACCUCAUUGACGGAUUUCUUUUGAUGACCAUGAGAUGGAUGAAUUUAGAAGUCACAACCUUUUGCUCCCAACUUUUACUUUCUGUUGCUUAGAAUAAAAAUGAUAAAUUUAGCUUUAUUUUUCCUGUUUUCUACUUUUUCCGUCCCUUAGAAAAGUGUCCCGAAAAUAAAAGAUCUUGAAAUGAUUUUUUCUGGAAUUUUCAAAAAAUUCUAAGAUAGAGAGCUAGUGAAGGGGAUGCACCAGUGGGCCACAAGCCCAGGAGGCGUGGGCACCCCCUGGCCGCGUCUGGCAGGCUUGUGGGUCCCACGUGGCCCCCCUCCACUUAUUCCAAUUCCCAUCUCCUUCUUCUACCUCCAGAAAAAAUCAUUCCACAGCUCAAACCCGUGUUCUUGCUCUUCUUGCUGCAUUUUUCGAUCUCCUUGUGCAAAGCCCCAUUCACCAAACUGUUUUGGGGAAUUGUUCCUUGGUAUGUGACUCCUCCAUUGGUCCAAUUAGUUCUUUCUCUAGUGCUUUAUUCGUUGCGUAUUUUUGCUGUCAUGGUGACCCUGUUCUUGAGCUUUGCAUGUUAAUUUUAGUUGGUACCAAGUAGUUUCGAUGCAUGAUAUGGCCUCUAGGCACUUGUAGGAGUAGUUGCUAUGGGUUUUGUUGAUCCUUGUUCACUUUUCUUUUGAGUCACUCAAAAUUUCAGAAAAAUAAGAUGUUCAGGAGAAACUAUCAUGGUGGUUCCUCAAGCAAAAGGGGUCCCCGUCUCUCGAUUCGGGAGCCCGAUCCUUAUCAGCCGAGGAACGCACAAGUACAACCAUGUGAAUGGACUUCCGAUGAAUUCAUGAUUGAUGCAGGUUUCAAGGGCGAGUUUGAUACAUUUGUUCACAACGAAGGGCUCGAAGAAUUCAUCUCCAACAAAUGCAAACAGUACAACGGAGAUAUUACAUAACCAAAGGAGAGGCAGAGGAGUAUGAGAGGGAGGCGAAGGUUGCUCGUCUCCGUGAGGCAGCUAUUCAGGCGGUAGCUGCCGCGUUCCCGUACAACCCCCAUUAUGAUUUUGGAUAUCGCCCGGACCAGCCGUGGGAGUAGACCAACUUAGGCCAAAAGUCUAAGCUUGGGGGAGUACGUGUUUCUCACCGACUUUAAAUUCAUACUCACACUUUCACCCUGUUAGUCGGUGUUCACACCUUGCCAUUGUAUCAACCAUGCUAGUUUAUUUCUUUUUCUCGCUUACUUCUCGUGUGUUUGUUUAAAUUGAGAAAAACAAAAAAAAAUAGUUUUAAGUUUACUUUCCCACUUGCUUAGUGGUAGUUUAAAAAGAAAACCCCAAAAGAUUUCCCGUUCUUCUUUUGCUUGUUGGGAGCUUUCCCGUGUAAAUAGUUUUCUUUUUCUUUGGGUCAAGGUAGAAGACCAUGAUUAAAAUGUUUAGUGGCUCUCACAUGCAUAUUUGUUUGUCCGUCAAAGAGCCAUAUUACUUUGUCUUCUCCUCUGUGUUUGCUUGCAGAUUCCAGAUUAGUCCAAUGCACGAACACUCUCAUUAUUAUUCACAUCAUUUUGUCGUGCAAGUGAAAGGCAAUAAUGGCGAUAUAUCAUGAAGUGACUGGGCCUGGAAAAGCUGGUAUGAACUCGACCUAUUUUGUUUUUGUAAAUAUGACUAGCUCAUCGUUCCUAAUUCAGCUUUGUUAUGAGAGAAACAUGUUUGCAAUGACAACUUAGAUAUCAUAGUUUCUCAUGCCAUGCUUAAUUAGCUAGGAGCUUAUAAUGGUUUGUCUUGGAUGCCAACACGAAUGUCAACAUGAUUAUGAUGUAGUAUGAUAGGAUGGUAUCCUCCUUUGAAUGAUUCAAGUGGCUUGACUUGGCACAUGUUCACGCAUGUAGUUGAAACAAAAUCAACAUAGCCUCUAUGAUAUUCAUGUUUAUGGUGAUUUAUAUCCUACUCAUGCUUGCACUCAACGUUGGUUAAUUUCAAUGCAUAUUGAUGACUAUUGUCGCUCUCUAGUUGGUCGCUUCCCGGUCUUUUGCUAUCCUUCACUUGUAAUAAGCAGGAAUACUGCUCGUGCAUCCACUUCCAUAAACCCAAAGUUAUUCCAUAUGAGUCCACCAUACCUACCUAUAUGCGGUAUCUACUUGCCGUUCCAAGUAAAUUUGCAUGUGCCACUCUCUAAAUCUUCAAGUAAUAAUCUGUUUUGUAUGCCCAAACCGCUCAUGUGGUGACAAGGGGCGGUCAGUAUGUUCCAUGCUAGGCGUGUUAUCCUUGAUAUGUGUUUAUUCACUAUCACUCAUGAGAAAGGGUCCAGUAAUUGGAAUGCCCAGUUCCAUGCUCAAAUCAAAAAUAUAAUUGCAAACAAAACUCCCUCUGGAUUGUUGUUGGUAUGGACGGCACCCGAGGAUUCGGCUAGUCUUCUACCUUGACCCAAAGAUGUUGAUGUACAUGAGAAAGGGCUAGAAGUAUAUUUGAUAUACAUGAUGUUGAUGUGUACUUUACUAGUACUCCUAGUAGCAUGAGGGUAUUGGAUACCGAUUCGGUUGCUAAGUGAUUAGUAACACGAAAUGAUAGCUACGACAUAAACGGAGACUAGCUAAAGGCGAGGUGACGAUACGUGUUGGAAGUGUUUCCAAGGUUGAUAUGAUCAAACGUCGCACGCUCCCUCUACCAUCGGGAUUGAUGUUAAACCUAAAUAAUUGUUAUUUGGUGCUUGCGUUAAGCAUGAACAUGAUUGGAUCGUGUUUAUUGCAAUACGAUUAUUCAUUUAAAAGGAAUAAUGGUUACUCUAUUUGCUUGAAUGAUCACCUUCAAUGGUUUAUUGAAUCUCGAUCGUAGUGUUACACAUGUUCAUGAUAUUGGUGCCAAAAGAUACGAGGUAAUGAUGAUAGUACCACUCACUUGUGGCACUACCGCUUGAGUCAUGUUAGUAUAAAUUGCAUGAAGAGGCUCCAUGCUGAUGGAUCUUUAUAUUCACUUGAUUUUGAAUCACUAGUGACAUGCUAAUCAUACCACAUGAGCAAGGCCUUGUUUUCAUUGAGAUGAAACAAGAUAGUAACUUGUUGGAAGUGAUAUAUUUUGAUGUAUGCAGUCCAAUGGAUGCUGAGGCACGCAGUGGAUGUCAUUAUGUUCUUACUUCAAUGACGAUUUGAGUAGAUACAAGAGUAUUUACUUAAUGAAUCAGAAGUCUGAAAUAUUGAAAAGUUCAAAUCUGUUUCAGAGUGAAGUUCGUCGUGACAAGAGGAUAAAAUGUCUACGAUAUGAUCAUCGAAAUGAAUAUCUGAGUUACGAGUUUUGGUACGCAGUUAAGACAAUGUGGAAAUUGUUUCGCAGUUCAUGCCACCUGGAACAUCAUAGUGUGAUGAUGUGUCUGAACGUCAUAGCCACGCACUAUUUGGUGUGGUGCAUGAUAUGAUGUCUCUUAUCGAAUUACCGUUAUCGUUUAUGGGUUAUGCAUUAGAGACAACCGCAUUCACUUUAAAUAGGGCACCGCGUAUUUCCAUUGAGAUGACACAGUAUAGACUGAGGUUUAGAGAAAUCUAAACUGUCAUUUCUUGAAUGUUUGGGGCUUCGACACUUAUGUGAACAAGUUUCAGUCUGAUAAGCUCGAACUCAAAGCGGAUAAAUGCAUCUUCAUAGGAUAUCCAAAACAGUUGGGUACAUCUCCUAUCUCAGAUCCAGAAGCAAAGUGUUUGUUUCUAGAAACGGAUCCUUUCUCGAGGAAAGGUUUCUCUCGAAAGAAUUGAGUGGGAGGGUGGUAGAACUUGAUGAGGUUAUUGAACCAUCACUUCGACCAGUGUGUAGCAGGGCGCAGGAAGUUGUUCUUGUGGCGCCUACACCAAUUGAAGUGAAAGCUGAUGAUGGUGAUCACCGAGCAUCGGAUCAAGUUACUACAAACCUCGUAGGUUGACAAGGUCACGUACUACUGCAGAGUGGUAAGGUAACCCUGUCUUGGAGGUCAUGUUGUUGAGCAACAGUGAACCUACGAGUUAUGGAGAAAGCAAUGGUGGGCCCGGAUUCCGACAAAUGGCUGGAAGCCAUGAAAUACGAGAGAGAAUCCAUGUAUGAAAACAAAGUGUAGACUUUGGAAGAACUACUUGAUGGUCGUAGGACUAUUGAGUAAAGAUGGAUCUUUAAAAGGAAGACAGACGAUGAUGGUGAUAAGUCACUAUUAAGAAAAGCUCGACUUGUCGCAAAGAUGUUUCCGACAAAAUCAAACAGUUGACUAUGAUGAGACUUUCUCACUCGUAGCGAUGCUAAAAGUCUGUUAGAAUUAUGUUAGUAGUUGGUGCGUUAUUUAUGAAAUAUUGCACAUAGGAUGUCAAAACAUUGUUUCCUCGACGGUUUCCUCGAGCAAACAUUGUAUGUGAUACAACCAGGAGGUUUUGUCGAUCCUAAAGAUACUAGCAAGUAUGCAAGCUCCAGUGAUCCUUCAAUGGACUGGUGCAAGCAUCUCGGAGUUGGAAUAUACACUUUGAUGAGAUGAUCAAAGAUUUUGGGUUUGUACAAGGUUUAUGAGAAACUUGUAUUUCCAAAGAAGUGAGUGGGAGCACUAUAGCAUUUCUGAUAAGUAUGUGUGGUUGACAUAUUGUGGAUCAGAAGUAAUGUAGAAUUUCUGUAAAGCAUACAAGGUUGUUUGAAAGGAGUUUUCAAAGGAAUACCUGGAUUGAGCUGCUUGAACGUUGAGCGCCAAAGAUCUAUGGAGAUAGAUCGAAAGCGCUUAAUGGAAGUUUCAACAAGAUGCAUGCCUUGACAAGUUUUUGAAGGAGUUCAAAAUAGAUCAGCAAAGAAGGAGUUCUUGGUUGCAUUGUAAGGUGUGAAUUUGAGUAAGACUAAAAAAAACCCGACCACGGCAGAAUAAAGAGAAUAGACGAAGGUCGUCUUCUAUGCCUUAGCCGUAGACUCUAAAGUAUGCCAUGCUGAGUACCGCACCUGAUGUGUGCCUUGCAGCAAGUCUGUUAAGAGGUACACAGAGUGAUCCAGGAUUGAAUCACUGAUCAGCGGUCAAAGUUAUCCUUAGUAACUAAAUAGACUAAGGAUUUUUUCUUGAUUAUGGAGGUGGUUAAAGAGUUCGUCGUAAAGGGUUACGUCGAUGCAAGCUUUGACACUAAUCCAAAUAACUAUGAGUAGUGAAACGGAUUCGUAUAGUAGAGUAGAUAUUUGGAGCAUUUUCGAAUAGCACGUAGUAGCAGCAUCUAUAAGAUGACAUAAAGAUUUGUAAAGAACGCACGGAUCUGAAAGUUUCAGAACCGUUGACUAAAACCUCUCUCACGAGCAAGACGUGAUCAGACCCCUGAACUAUAUGGGUGUUGGAUUCGUUGGAAUCACAUGGUGAUGUGAACUAGAUUAUUGACUCUAGUGCAAGUGGGAGACUGUUGGAAAUAUGCCCUAGAGGCAAUAAUAAAUUAGUUAUUAUUAUAUUUCUUAGUUCAUGAUAAUCGUUUAUUAUCCAUGCUAUAAUUGUAUUGAUUGGAAACACAAUACUUGUGUGGAUACAUAGACAAAACACUGUCCCUAGUAAGCCUCUAGUUGACUAGCUCGUUGAUCAAAGAUGGUCAAGGUUUCCUGGCCAUAGGCAAGUGUUGUCACUUGAUAACGGGAUCACAUCAUUAGGAUAAUCAUGUGAUGGACUAGACCCAAACUAAUAGACGUAGCAUGUUGAUCGUGUCAUUUUGUUGCUACUGUUUUCUGCGUGUCAAGUAUUUGUUCCUGUGACCAUGAGAUCAUAUAACUCACGGACACCGGAGGAAUGCUUUGUGUGUAUCAAACGUCGCAACGUAACUGGGUGACUAUAAAGAUUCUCUACAGGUAUCUCCGAAGGUGUUCGUUGAGUUAGUAUGGAUCGAGACUGGGAUUUGUCACUCCGUGUGACGGAGAGGUGUCUCGGGGCCCACUCGGUAAUACAACAUCACACACAAGCCUUGCAAGCAAUGUGACUUAGUGUAAGUUGCGGGAUCUUGUAUUACGGAACGAGUAAAGAGACUUGCCGGUAAACGAGAUUGAAAUAGGUAUGCGGAUACUGACGAUCGAAUCUCGGGCAAGUAACAUACCGAAGGACAAAGGGAAUGACAUACGGGAUUAUAUGAAUCCUUGGCACUGAGGUUCAAAUGAUAAGAUCUUCGUAGAAUAUGUAGGAUCCAAUAUGGGAAUCCAGGUCCCGCUAUUGGAUAUUGACCAAGGAGUCUCUCGGGUCAUGUCUACAUAGUUCUCGAACCCGCAGGAUCUGCACACUUAAGGUUCGACGUUGUUUUAUGCGUAUUUGAGUUAUAUGGUUGGUUACCGAAUGUUGUUCGAAGUCCCGGAUGAGAUCACGGACGUCACGAGGGUUUCUGGAAUGGUCCGGAAACGAAGAUUGAUAUAUAGGAUGACCUCAUUUGAUUACCGGAAGGUUUUCGGAGUUACCAGGAAUGUACCGGGAAUGACGAAUGGGUUCCGGGAGUUCACCGGGGGGGCAACCCACCCCGGGGAAGCCCAUAGGCCUUGGGGGUGGCGCACCAGCCCUUAGUGGGCUGGUGGGACAGCCCAAGAAGGCCCUAUGCGCCAUAGGAAGAAAAUCAAAGAGAAAAGAAAAAAAAGAGGAGGUGGGAAAAAGGGGAAGGACUCCUCCUUCCAAACCUAGUUGGAUUCGGUUUGGAAGGGGAGGACUCCCCCCCCCCUUGGCUCGGCCGACCCCCUUGGGGCCCCUUGAGCCCCAAGGCAAGGCUCCCCCUCUUCCCCCUAUAUAUACGGAGUUUUUAGGGCUGACUUGAGACAACUUUGCCACGGCAGCCCGACCACAUAUCUCCACGGUUUUACCUCUAGAUCGCGUUUCUGCGGAGAUCGGGCGGAGCCCUGCCGAGAUAAGAUCAUCACCAACCUCCGGAGCGUCGUCACGCUGCCGGAGAACUCUUCUACCUCUCCGUCUCUCUUGCUGGAUCAAGAAGGCCGAGAUCAUCAUCGAGUUGUACGUGUGCUGAACGCGGAGGUGCCGUCCGUUCGGCACUAGAUCGUGGGACUGAUCGCGGUACGGUUCGCGGGGCGGAUCGAGGGACAUGAGGACGUUCCACUACAUCAACCGCGUUUACUAACACUUCUGCUGUACGGUCUACAAGGGUACGUAGAUCACACAUCCCCUCUCGUAGAUGGACAUCACCAUGAUAGGUCUUCGUGCGCGUAGGAAAAUUUUUGUUUCCCAUGCGACGUUCCCCAACAUGACUGUGACUGGAUCUUCUUUGCCAUGAAUUACAAUGUUCAGUCAGCCCUUGGUCUUUGAAGGUGCUCUGCAUUUAUGUUUUGCGGUCUGAGAAAGAGCUAGCGAGAUACCAUCUAUUCAUAUUGCUUCAUGAUUGUUUUGAUUGAAGUGUUGACGUUUGAAACUUACUAUUAUUGCUCGCUAGUUGAUUAUGUCAUUGAUAUGAGUACAUCUUGAGACCUAAAUGUUAUUGCUUAUGUGGUUAGCUUAUGAUCUUGCUGAAAAUUUGAAUAUGAGUUAGACAUAAUUACAACAAUAAGAUCAAACAGAGUUCGUAAAAGCUUUUCUUUUGUCUCUUUCAGUUUGUCAACUGAAUUGCUUGAGGACAAGCAAGGCUUUAAGCUUGGGGGACUUGAUACGUCUCCAUCGUAGCUACUUUUCCGAACUCUUUUGCCCUUGUUUUGGACUCUAAUUUGCAUGAUUUGAAUGGAACUAACCCGGACUAACGCUGUUUUCAGCAGAAUUGCCAUGGUGUUUUUUUGCGCAGAAAUAACAGUUCUCGGAAUGACCUGGAAAUUUACGAGGAUUUUUUGUGGAAUAUAUGAAAAAUACUGGCGCAAGAAUUACCUCGAGGGACGGAGCCAGGAGCCCACAAGCCCAGGAGGCGCGCACCCCUGGCCGCGCAUGGCAGGCUUGUGAGGCCCUCGUGGCUCCGCAGCCUCCAACUCCAUCUCUAUAUAUUCUCUCUCACCCAGAAAAAAUUAAAGGAGAAGAGUUCAUCGCGUUUCACGACACGGAGCCGCCACCACCACCUGUUCUUCCUCUGGAGGGCAGAUUUGGAGUCCGUUCUGGGCUCCGGAGAGGGGAAAUCGACGCCGUCGUCAUCACCAACCAUCCUUCAUCGCCAAUUCCAUGAUGCUCUUCACCGUUCGUGAGUAAUCUCAUCGUAGGCUUUCUGGAUGGUGAUGGGUUGGAUGAGAUCUAUCAUGUAAUCAAGUUAGUUUUGAUGGGGUUUGAUCCCUAGUAUCCACUGUGUUCUAAGAUUGAUGUUGCUACUACUUUGCUAUGCUUAAUGCUUGUCACUAGGGCCCGAGUGCCAUGAUUUCAGAUCUAAACCUAUUAUGUUUUCAUCAAUAUAUCUGUGUUCUUGAUCCUAUCUUGCAAGUUGUAGUCACCUACUAUGUGUUAUGACCCGGCAACCCCGGAGUGACAAUAGCCGGAACCACUCCCGGAGAUGACCAUAGUAUCAGGAGUUCAUGUAUUCACUAAGUGCUAAUGCUUUGUUCCGGUUCUCUAUUAAAAGGAGACCUUAAUAUCCCUUAGUUUCCUUUAAGACCCUGCUUCCACGGGUGGGAUGGACAAUAGAUGUCAUGCAAGUUCUUUUCCAUAAGCACGUAUGAAUAAAUACGGAAUACAUGCCUACAUUACAUUGACGAACUAGAGCUAGUUAUAAAUCACCCCAUGUUAUAACUGUUACAUGAUGAAUGUCAUCCGACAUAAUUAUCCAUCACCGAUUCAAUGCCUACGAGUCUUUUCCUACUGGUCCUUGCUAAGUUACUGUUACCGCUACUGCUGUCACUACUGCUACUGUUACCGCUGCUACUGUUACCGCUGCUACCGUUACUAUCACACUACUCUACUACUGAAACAUUGCUGCAGAUACUAAGUCUUUCAUGUGUGGUUGAAUUGACAACUCAACUGCUAAUACUCGAGAAUAUUCUUUGGCUUCCCCUUGUAUCGAAUCAAUAAAUUUGGGUUGAAUACUCUAUCCUCAAAAACUGUUGCGAUCCCCUAUACUUGUGGGUUAUCAGUUAUAUAUUUGAUUACCUUUUAUAUUAUGUUCCUUAGUGAUUCAUGCAUGUUCUCCUUUGCUAUUUAUUGCCUUGGCCAAGUAGUAGAUUGUAACUCCAAGAGGGAGCGUUAUGCAUGAUUAUUGGUUCAUGCCCCUCAAUGUCUAGCUUGAGUGACAGAAACAUGAGACUAGGGGAUGUGUUGUUGCCACCAGGGUGAAAACAACGGUGCUUGUGACCACGGUUGCAAGGAUUGUUUACCUUACGCAUAGUUCGUUAAUGCAGUUGUCCCUUGCUUUGAGUUUACACUUUGGGUGGGGCUCGCAACUUAAUACCAGCGAGCUGUUCUGGAUAGAUAUCUCAAGGUGAAUGAUUAGUAAGUAGAUCCUGAUGAAUAAUAGAUGUACUUGUCUUGGCGUACUUCCCAUUACUAUUGAGCCUCUCACUUUCAAGUAGCAUAAUUAACAUUGCGGUGCGUUCACCUGCCAAUUGCCCAACUGUAAUGUGUUUACCCAAGCAUAGUUGUUUAUCGUCUUUUGGGAGAGAGACAUCACUACAUGUGACUCCGAUCCAUAUCACUACCAUUGUUUACACCUGCAUCAUUUACUUUUUUCAUUUACUUUCCCGUUGCAAUCACCAUUACUAUUCCCGCUUGUGUUUUGAUCCUUUGCAAACUACAAGGCCGGAGAGAUUGACAAACUCUCUGUACUCGUUGGGAGCAAAGUUAUUUGUUGUGUGUACAGGUCCAUGUCUUCUGCUAGACAGUGGCAGCGGACACCUACUUGUUGAUCCUACGAGUCCUCGUGGUUCGAUAAACCUUACAGUUUCCGUGUGAGGGAAAACUUGUUGCUAACUACAUCUCAACCUUCCACUUGGGUUAACAAACGAGGAGCGAGAAUUAUAUACAUCAUCUCGUCAUCAGUAUCAUGGGCCUCGCACCCCAAGCCGGCGCCCGCCUCCCUCCGGCAUAGGAGGCCACGUCAGGCGCCCUCAUCAGGCUGGGCUCAGGGGCUCCUGCGUGGGGCCGCCUAGCAUGGUUAGUGUGAUGAGGGGGCGCCCGAGGACCCCAUGGAGGCGUGCCCUGACAUGCGCCCCCACGAGCUGGGAGUGUGGUGCCAAGCGUUAAGGGCACAUGAGUUAGCCUCUUAGGAGAUGAACAAGCUUCAAGGGUGUGGGCUACGCAUGCCUCAUGAAGCGUCGGGACCCCACGGGCUCAUGAAGCCUCAGUUGCGAUCCGACCCUCACCAGAGCAGUAGACCCCCGCGGCACGUGACAUCAAGCGGCCUGACACGCUCGCGACAUCCUGGCUGUUAGGUGACUUUUUGGGUUGUUCGAAUCAAGCAAUUCCGUGUAUUUUGCAUUGCUACAAGCGGGUGCUUCCUAGAUAUGUGACGAACUUUGUUAACCUUCACUUGAGAUGAUACCAUUUGUCUAAAUCAAGUUCUAGUGUCUCGCCACCAUCGGGGGCUGGAGCACCCCCACAACCGCCCUGUGAUGGUUCCGUGGUGGGGGUUAGACACGGCGUCUCUGUCGGGACUUGUCCUCGCAGCACCGAGAAAUCAAAGUGAACGAGCUCCGGCUCGCGAGUUGGCCACCCGUGUUAGUCAUCUCGCGAAGGUCCUUAGUGUCACGCCCUCCCGAAGAACCAUCACGGGUAGAUGGAGGGAAUGUGGCUUGCCUCGCGCUGCUGCGGGGAGGCGCCUUGUUGUGUCCCACAACAACUCAUCUAACGACGUGCUCUUUUGGCCAUGCUGGGUGCGAUGGUGCUCCUAUUUGGGCCACACGAGCGUUGCGCCCACAUGCACACUCCCACGCCAAAACGCACGGAAGCACCUCAAGACCGGGUUAGGCUCUCCUGAGCCUUGGGCCUGGGGUGUCUGCCUAUCAUCAUCGCCCGUGACAUUCUCAUGUUAGAAUGAGUGGCUUGUAUAACCUGGGAGCCUCCUAAGUGGAAGGCCACUACGAGCCGCGUCGUGGCCUCGGUGGAGGGCUCCCGCCCAUGCUCAAGUGGAAGUCCCUAUUCUCUGCGCUGGCGAAAUGACUAUCGAACCGCGACUAUGCCCAUGCCCUAGUGGAAGCCCCUUGCAUCGCGCGUGGGUAACGAUCGAAGAAGAAGUCCCGCGGGCUAUGCUGGAUACGGCAGCCGUUUUUCUUCCUUUCUUUUUUUAACUUGUGAACGAGCUCACCAGGCUGACCUAUCGUGUACACUGCAGCUGCACCUCCUUUUUUGGGGAUCGUAAACAAGUCCGACUCGGGUUUUAAUGAAGGUCUUUGUCUUCAUUCUUUCGUGGAGUUUCAUUGGUUUUCCUUGUUCUUACCAUACCCGCGCCUAGUGGAAGCCCCAUGCAUCGUGUUGGGAUAACGAAGAAUGCCCCCGGAGGCAUGUCUCCCCCCCCCCCCCCCNNNNNNNNNNNNNNNNNNNNNNNNNNNNNNNNNNNNNNNNNNNNNNNNNNNNNNNNNNNNNNNNNNNNNNNNNNNNNNNNNNNNNNNNNNNNNNNNNNNNNNNNNNNNNNNNNNNNNNNNNNNNNNNNNNNNNNNNNNNNNNNNNNNNNNNNNNNNNNNNNNNNNNNNNNNNNNNNNNNNNNNNNNNNNNNNNNNNNNNNNNNNNNNNNNNNNNNNNNNNNNNNNNNNNNNNNNNNNNNNNNNNNNNNNNNNNNNNNNNNNNNNNNNNNNNNNNNNNNNNNNNNNNNNNNNNNNNNNNNNNNNNNNNNNNNNNNNNNNNNNNNNNNNNNNNNNNNNNNNNNNNNNNNNNCCCCCCCCCCCCCCGCAGCACGUACGCGCCUGCUAGCUUUACCUUGGGCCUCACGUUCGCGGGGGCUGGGCACAGUGCAUUUUCCUAGGUCUUCCCCGUCGGUGAUGGGAACCUGGAGAACUCGGUUCUGGCUCGCGGGCACGCCCACGCGCACGUCACCUCAUCAAGGCCAUUGGGACCUAUACUUCUUGUGUAACGCCCAAAUGCAAAAAGGCAAGCGCGUACCGUUUGGGACAAGGUGUUUGCUCUAUGGGACUUCCCUCAAGGGGCAUCGUGAGGUGGGCCCCGCAAGAAGAAACCCCUCACGCGAGAAGAAGGGGAGCACCUGAGCUCCGCGCCUCAGGAGCCCUCGUACCCAUGCUCGGGGGCUGGGCCUUGGCAACACGAAGCAUCAGGCUGACCUUGGAGAGGGUUUAAGCUCGACAAAGAGUACCAAGGAUAAGUUUAUUUUUGACACAAAAUAGCGUUUGAUUUGAAGCAUGAUGGACAUAACCCCUUUUUACCUGCUCCCGUGGGGCCAGCAUGUUGCAUUAGAGGAAAGGGAAGACAACACAAAAGAAAGAAGAUCAAACUCUUGAAACACCACCGCGAGGGAUCUCAAUGCUGGCAUUGUGCGAGCUUAGCCGGAGCCCUCCUCGUCCUUGACGUGGGUGCUCGGGGAGGCAUUGGAGUCGCUGUCGCCCACACUCCCCCUGUAGGAGGAGCUACCACUAUCAUCGGUGCUAGAAGGGUUGUUGUUGCCGCUACUGUCACCUUGCAUGCAACAGUCCAAGCCAUCGCCGACGCUUCCGAAGGCCUUCAUGAAGAGUGUGGUGGUCCCGUCGAACUUGAAGUGGAGGACAUGCCCUUCCUGGAAGCCUUGGACAAGGGAGAACGACCUCCACCCGCGUCCCAAGAACAUGAACUGGAGGGAGUUGAACUCCGUCGCCACCCAAGUAGGCUCAUUGCACUAGCCGUCUGCCUACACCACAGGCCCAAGGGAGUGUGCUCUUUCAUCUCCUUCGUGAAAGAGUCUGGGAGCCAAAGCCAGGUGCGAAGCCUGCCCUCCAUCUAUAUGAUGAACUCGCGGACUGCGUCGGUGGGGCAACUUCGCGACCUCGGAGGUCGGGUGUAUGUGUUGUACUGUUGGCCCUGUCCGUGGCCACCUCAUCCGCCACGCCCACGUCUGCAAACAGAACCCAGUCCGUGGCUGCUAGGGCCGGUAUUGAGCCGCCGACGGGGAGCGCCCACAUCCCUCGAGAGGUUCCUUGAGCGCGGCAGUGGGCACAUGAGGGCGGCCUCUUCCUCUCGCCAGACGCGGUGCGCCUGCUCCCUCUUCACUGCUUUCUCCUUUUCGGCGGCAGAGGAUAUCUUCACUAGUGUCAUCGCUGCAGCGACGACAACCAAUAACGAAGAGCAAGGAUGAGGAGGUUGGCGUAGGAGACCUUUCCCCUUGACCUUAUAUGGAGUCUCCAAGUGGGUGUUCAACUCGCGCCUCCUUGCCCGCAUUCAACGGGCGGAAGGUUAAUGGGGGCGAUGAUGGCUCGGUGCCACGCGCAGGCUUUAUGCUAGCACCGAACGGUUGCUGAGGCAUCACGGGGAAGCGGGAGCACCCCGCGCGCCACGUGUUGCGCUUGACACUCACACGGAGGGGCCCGCGCCAUCCCGAUUCCCCUCACUAGAUGAACCGCCCCCAUUGCAUGCCCGCGGGCUGCUCCGUUGGGCCCGUGGGCCUGAAGAAGCCCAGGAAUGUCUGCUUGCAACCUCGCGACGCGUGCCAUGGCCGGGGAUCUUUCUAUCGCCAAGCUGCGAAGACAAGGCCCGCGCGAGGGCACCAGCCUCACGAGGCUCGCACAAGCAACCAUCAUCACGGGCUUUGUGGCCCCCCCGCAGGGCUGCGCCGAGAUGCUUCCCUCGAGGGCUUCGUGGGGUAGGAUGGCCAAGGGAACGUGAGGCAACAGCCUAGCCACGUAAGGGCACGUACUAAGAAGCGCUCGGGGGUUGUCGCCCCGAGGCCCCCCGUCGCGCGUCAGAAGUGAGUACUAAGAAGCGCUCGAGACGCUCGUGCUCCUCCUCCUGAUCGUAGGCGGUCCGGGCGGUUUCCGGCUCGCACAGAGCCAUGUCCACCUCCCGAUCGAUGAUGUCCGCCUCCCUCAGGCCGGGUCCGCCUCGCACCCGGCGUUCCGAGAGGCAGAUGUGGAGGAUUGGGCCGCGCACCCUAAGGCCUUGUCGUCGCCCCAAAGUGUGUUGCGGGUCCUCCGAGCCUUGUCAAGCCAAGCGCAGAGACGGAGGCUCACCAAGAAGCAGCACACGAGAAGAUGGCCCCGGUAGGGUAUCCCGGCGCCUCUUGGGUGUUGGCGCCUGGAAAUUUCGGUGAUUAGAUUCGUCGGGCCACACAAGGCACGCAAAAAAAGGAAUGGCGACGACGCACUUACUCAUCGCUGGCAGCCCAGCGCCGUCCCGUUGGGGUCCGCCGUGGCUCCGAAGGCCCCAUGCAUGCCUGAUCUUGAGGCAUCCCUCCUAGUCCCCAUGGGAAGAGAAAAAGGAGAAAUAAGGCGACCUUUAUAGAAGAAUGGUGGAGCAGCGCAGGAGGAAGGCAGAAGGGAGAAGCAGUGUGAUGGCAGCUCCGCCCCAUGGGUGUGGUUGUUUUAUAGGCGAGACCGUACUCUGCGAGGCUUCAUGAGAAGUGUAGGCCACAUGUGCUUCAUUGUGCGCCACUUGUCGUGCCUAUCCCAUGGACGGUUAUGGCUCGCGUCGCUCGUUCCCCCAACAGACCGCUUUGCGUGUGUCGAGGGCCCAGGAGCAAUCUUACGCGGCAAGGAAGGCGCAAGUGCAUGGCUUUCGUCAAGGAAGAGCAAUGAUGGCUGACGCUGCACAGAGACUUUAUGUCAUCUCAAUCAGGGCGGUUCUCGGAGCGUUGCAGGAAGAAGAAGAGCCCCACGACCUGUCGGGUGCCCCACGUCGAGCCUGGCCCACGCGCGGUUGGGGCACACGGUUGGGGUCAUGCAUGGCGCAGUCUCGGGGGUUACUAUCGGUCCCCUUGGACCGGGGUACCCAGGUCCAUCGGCCUGCGGGCCCACGUGCUACAUUGGCUUUGUUCGGCCAAUCGGCAAGCCUAGCAAAGGAAUACCCUCGCGAGGGCGCUCGCCUUGCGAGGCAAGUGUCAGAGGAUCGUCGCCAAGGACCACGAGAGGUCACACUCUGCAAGGACGCGUCCUGAGGCCACCCCUAAGGCUCUCGUGGGGCGGGCUCGUCGAAGGCGAGCAAGCAGGGUCUCAUGACCCUGUGUCUCCACAUGGGUGAUGGAGGUGGUGCCAACGGGCACGGACAAGGAGGUUUUCCACUUUUGUGCUAAGGAAAUGGGGCCAGCUGGUGGGCUCUGAAAGCAACCCCUAAAGGCUCCCCAUUUGGUGCAAGAGGACUAAGGCUGGGGGCUGUCAGGACGAAGGUCAUCCUCGAGCCCACCGGUGCGUCACGACGAAGAGCUUUGGCAGGUGAAGACCCAUUUUUGUCAGGGUGGACUGCAUUCCUGUGCCCUUUCGAAAUGGCCAUUGUGGCAACCCUUCCCAACAAGUGUUUUCAGGGGAAGAGGAACGAGGCCAAUAUAGAAGAGAGGUUCGGCCUCCGUAGCAAGGAUCACAUCGUCUCUAAGAGGGCAAGAACCCUCCUUUGUACUCGUCUUCCACCUCAAGCAAUCCAGACAAGCAGGAGAAGGGUUUUACACCACAAAUUGGUCUGAACCUAGGUAAACUACUCGUGUGUUCUUGUUCGCCUUCCUUAGCUCGAGCUAUAGGAGAGUCGCAGUGAAGUUGAGAGGUAGAACAGGUUAUGAGAGUGUGCGCACCCCAGAGUUCGAACCUUUCUGGGUCUGCGGAGCCCUAAUUCCGUCAGUUGCCUUGNNNNNNNNNNNNNNNNNNNNNNNNNNNNNNNNNNNNNNNNNNNNNNNNNNNNNNNNNNNNNNNNNNNNNNNNNNNNNNNNNNNNNNNNNNNNNNNNNNNNGAUACCUAUUCUGCGCAACUCCAAACGCCGUGAAAAUCAACGGAGAUUUUUUUCCCAAUUUAUAAAAAAUACUGGGAUGAAGAAGUGCCAGAGGGGCACCAGGGGGUGCCCACAAGCCUGCACGGCGCGGCCCAAACCCCCCCCCCCCCCNNNNNNNNNNNNNNNNNNNNNNNNNNNNNNNNNNNNNNNNNNNNNNNNNNNNNNNNNNNNNNNNNNNNNNNNNNNNNNNNNNNNNNNNNNNNNNNNNNNNNNNNNNNNNNNNNNNNNNNNNNNNNNNNNNNNNNNNNNNNNNNNNNNNNNNNNNNNNNNNNNNNNNNNNNNNNNNNNNNNNNNNNNNNNNNNNNNNNNNNNNNNNNNNNNNNNNNNNNNNNNNNNNNNNNNNNNNNNNNNNNNNNNNNNNNNNNNNNNNNNNNNNNNNNNNNNNNNNNNNNNNNNNNNNNNNNNNNNNNNNNNNNNNNNNNNNCCCCCCCCAGGCCGCGCCAUGGGGGCUUGUGGGCAGCCCACAGGCCCACUGGCCCCCCUCUUUUUCUAUAUAGAGGGUUUCGUCCAGGAAAAAAAAUCAGAGAGGAGCUUUUUCGUGGUUUCGUCGCCGCCACGAGACGGAACUUGAGCAGAACCAAUCUAGAGCUCCGACGGGACGAUCCUGCCGGGGAAACUUCCCUCCCGGAGGCGGAAAUCGUCGCCAUCGUCAUCACCAACACUCCUCUCAUCGGAGAGGACUCGUCACCAUCAACAUCUUCAUCAGCACCAUCUCAUCUCCAAACCCUAGUUCAUCACUUGUAACCAAUCUCCGUCUCGCGACUCCGAUUGGUACUUGUAAGGUUGCUAGUAGUGUUGAUUACUCUUUGUAGUUGAUGCUAGUUGGAUUGUUUGGUGGAAGAGAUUAUGUUCAUAUCCUUGAUGCUACUCAUUACCCCUCUGAUCAUGAUUAUGAUUAUGCUUUGUGAGUAGUUACUUUUGUUCCUGAGGACAUGGGAUAAGUCAUGCUAAUAAUAGUCAUGUGAAUUUGGUAUCCGUUCGGUAUUUUGAUAUGUUGUAUGUUGUUUUUCCUCUAGUGGUGUUAUGUGAACGUCGACUACAUAACACUUCACCAUUAUUUGGGCCUAGAGGAAGGCAUUGGGAAGUAGUAAGUAGAUGAUGGGUUGCUAGAGUGACAGAAGCUUAAACCCUAGUUUAUGUGUUACUUCGUAAGGGGCUGAUUUGGAUCCACUAGUUUAAUGCUAUGGUUAGACUUUGUCUUAAUUCUUCUUUCGUAGUUGUGGAUGCUUGCGAGAGGGGUUAAUCAUAAGUGGGAUGCUUGUCCAAGUAAGGGCAGUACCCAAGCGCCGGUCCACCCACAUAUCAAACUAUCAAAGUAACGAACGCGAAUCAUAUGAACAUGAUGAAACUAGCAUGACAGAAAUUCCCGUGUGUCCUCGGGAGCGUUUUUCCUCCUAUAAGAAUUUGUCCAGGCUUGUCCCUUGCUACAAAAGGGAUUGGGCCACUUUGCUGCACCGUUGCUACUUUUGUUACUUGUUGCUUGCUACGAAUCAUCUCACCACACAAUCACUUGUUACCGACAAUUUCAGUGCCUACAGAUUUUUCCUUGCUGAAAACCACUUGUCAGAUCCUUCUGCUCCUCGUUGGGUUCGACACUCUUACUUAUCGAAAGGACUACGAUUGAUCCCCUAUACUUGUGGGUCAUCAAGACUCUUUUUUGGCGCCGUUGCCGGGGAGUGAAGCGCCUUUGGUAAGUGGAAUUUGGUAAGGAAACAUUCAUAUAGUAUGCUGAAAUUUGUUGUCACUUGUCACUAUGGAUACUAAUCCUUUGAGGGGCUUGUUCGGAGUAUCUUCACCUCGAACGGAAGCACAAAGAGUUGCUCCUCAAGUUGCUGCACCUACUGAAAAUAUUUGCUUUGAAUUUCCUUCGGGUAUGCUUGAGAAACUGUUGGCUAAUCCUUUUAGAGGAGAUGGAACAUCACAUCCAGACUUGCUUCUAAUCUAUGUAGAUGAGGUUUGUGGUUUAUUUAAGCUUGCAGGUGUGCCCGAGGAUGAGGUCAAUAAGAAGGUCUUUCCUUUAUCUUUGAAGGAUAAGGCGUUGACAUGGUAUAGGCUAUGUGAUGAUACUGGACCAUGGGACUACAAUCGGUUGAAAUUGGAAUUUCAUCAAAAGUUUUAUCCUAUGCAUUUAGUACAUCGUGAUCGGAAUUAUAUUUAUAAUUUUUGGCAUCGUGACAGAGAAAGCAUCCCUCAAGCUUGGGGGAGGCUUAAAUCAAUGCUAUAUUCAUGCCCCAAUCAUGAGCUCUCGAGAGAAAUUAUCAUUCAGAACUUCUAUGCUCGGCUUUCUCAUGAUGAUCGCACCAUGCUUGACACUUCUUGUACCGGCUCUUUUAUGAAGAGAAAUAUUGACUUAAAAUGGAAUUUAUUGGAGAGAAUUAAACGCAACUCUGAAGAUUGGGAGCUUGAAGAAGGUAAGGAGCCAGGUAUGAAUUUCACGUUUGAUUGCGUUAAAUCCUUUGUUGAGACAAACACCUUUAGUGAUUUUAGGUCUAAGUAUGGACUUGACUCUAAGAUAGUAGCUUCAUUGUGUGGAUCCUUUGCUGCUCAUAUUGAUCUUCCCGAAGAGAAGUGGUUUAAAUUCCAUCCUCCUUUAGAAGUCAAUGUAGUUAAACCCAAUCCAGUUGAAGAGAAAGUCAUUGCCUAUAAUGAUCCUGUGGUACCCAGUGCUUACAUUGAGAAACCACCUUUCCCUGUUAGGAUAAAGGAUCAUUCUAAAGCUUCAACUGUGAUACGUAGAGGCUAUAUUAGAACACCUACACCCCCUGAGAAAAUUAGAGUUGAACCUAGCAUUGCUAUUAUCAAAGAUCUUCUGUCUAAAGAAGUUGAGGGACAUAAUAUUCACUUCUGUGAAGAUGCUGCUAGAAUUGCUAAACCUCACGUUAGAGACAAACAUAGGCCUGUUGUUGGCAUGCAUGUGGUUUCUGUUAAGAUAGGAGAUCAUUGUUACCAUGGUUUAUGUGACGUGGGUGCUAGUGUUAUUGCAAUACCUCAAUCCUUAUACGAUGAAAUCAAAGAUGAGAUUGCACCUGUUGAGAUAGAACCUAUAGAUGUCACUAUUCAUCUUGCCAAUAGAGAUACUAUCUGCCCUGUGGGAAUUGUUAGGGAUGAUGAAGUCUUGUGUGGUAAAACGAAGUAUCCUGCUGAUUUCCUCGUUCUUGCUACCGCACAAGAUAGCUUUUGUCCCAUCAUAUUUGGCAGACCCUUUCUCAAUACCGUCAAUGCUCAUAUUCAUUGUGAGAAGCAAACUGUCACUGUUGGCUUUGAAGGUGUGUCACAUGAGUUCAAUUUCUCUAAGUUUGGUAGACAACCUCAUGAAAAGGAGUUGCCUAGUAGGGAUGAAACUAUUGCCUUAGCCUCUAUUGUCGUGCCUCCUACUGAUCCCUUAGAGCAAUACUUGCUUGAGCAUGAAAAUGAUAUGCAUAUGGAUGAAAGGGAUGAAAUAGAUAGAGUUGUCUUAGAACAAUAUCCUAUCCUUAAGAAUAACUUGCCUGUUGAACUGCUUGGGGAUCCACCCCCACCAAAGGGUGAUCCUGUGUUCGAGCUUAAACAGUUGCCUGAUACUCUUAAGUAUGCCUAUCUUGAUGAAAAGGAGAUAUAUCCUGUUAUAAUUAGUGCUAGCCUCUCGGAGCAUGAAGAAAAGAAGUUGCUAANNNNNNNNNNNNNNNNNNNNNNNNNNNNNNNNNNNNNNNNNNNNNNNNNNNNNNNNNNNNNNNNNNNNNNNNNNNNNNNNNNNNNNNNNNNNNNNNNNNNNUCGACAACAAGCUCCCAGCGCACUGAGACGUAGGGCUAUUACCUCCACCGCAGAGGGGCCUGAACUCAUACAACCUCACCGUAGCUAAGGCUCUGCCCAUCCUUUUCGUACCCUACACAUCUACUGUCAGGCUUAUACCCACGACAGUCACGCCCAAAAGAAAUGAAAAAGAAAAUACAAAAUAAACAAAUGCCGGCACCGCGGAUCUACAAAAACGCAAAAGACUCGCGACCGCUGCGCCCACCAAGGAUCUCCCACCAAGUUCGAGGACUCCGAAGCACCGGUACCCAUCAACACCUCCAAGAAAGAUUGUGACGACGAUGACACUGCUGCCAAGGGUUUCCCCUAGUACGUGACGAGGCGCGAGAAAGGGUAGCCCCUGACGCCCUCCAAGAAGGUUCAGCAACACCCAAAGGCGUCACCGCGCCGGUGUCGGCCGGGCCGACAAGGGUUUCCCCCGAUCUCAACCUGCACCUCGGGCGCUCCGGAGCCUCCCACCAAACCGACCUUCACCCUGCACCAACACGGUCUUAAAGCCCCCGCGCCGUCUCACGACGGCACCGUAAGGAGAGACCCGCACAAUGACAAAAAGGAGACGGGACUAGGAGUAGCAGCACCGUCGGCAUGCGGGAGGGCUCAACCUCCACCGUCAACGAGGGUAGCCGACCGGACAUGAUAGCAGGAGCACACCAGGCGCGUGGGCCCACAGGCCCGGCCGGGACCCCUGCUUGUAAAGCUCCUGCCAUCGCGCUGCAACGGGCACGCCGCCCCCGUCCAAGCUGCUCCUCCUCACCACCACGCAGAAGACAACGCAGCCACGCCGGGUGCCAGCCCGCUAAGACCCAUAUGGGGCCUGUAGGUCCCACAUGUGGGUCGGGGGCGCACCGCGAGCUACCCCGCACCAACACGCCACCCUGUCGCCAAGAAGCAGUGCUGCCACCUCACCCGCUGCCGGCCACUGCCGUUGGGGUCGCCGGACCGCAGACAGGCUGAGCUGCACAACCGCCGUCCCUGCCCGUGGAAGAGGGAACGCUCACGCGAGGAAAAGGAGAACCUGCCGCUACUGACACCACCCGGGCUAGGGUCGGGGGCGCCCUGCCGGUAGUGGCGGGUGAGGGAGGAGGCACGAGGGGGCUCACGGAAGGAGGAGCAGAAGCCGCCUCGGCCGCCUCCCGGGGAGGCNNNNNNNNNNNNNNNNNNNNNNNNNNNNNNNNNNNNNNNNNNNNNNNNNNNNNNNNNNNNNNNNNNNNNNNNNNNNNNNNNNNNNNNNNNNNNNNNNNNNUAGGGCGAAUUCUUGACCUGCAAGUCAAGAAUGAGGCCCUACUUAGUAAGUGGUUGUUUAAACUUCUUACUUAGGAUGGUGUUUGGCAAACCAUGCUGCACAACAAGUAUCUAGGCCAAAAGGCGGUGUCUCGAGCAUAUUGGAAACCUGGCGACUCGCACUGUUGGGUUGGCCUAAUGGCGCCAAAGAAACAUCUCUUUCACUUUGGGUCUUUCGCGGUAAGAGACGGGUCAGAGAUUCGUUACUAGCAAGACAUCUGACCACGCAAUGUCAGUCUCCGAGAACAAAAUCCAGCCAUGUACAACAUUGCUCACGAUAAGAAUAAAACAAUUGUGCAGGUCCUCAGUUCAUUCCCCGUCCAAUAUUUCGUUUAGGCGGGGUUUGAUUGGCCUCCGACUUAUGUCAUGGCAUAAUCUUUUAUCCCUGCGGGAUUUGAUCAAUUUGACACAUGGUCGGGAUAUGUUUCGCUGGAACGUUACUACAUCGGGGUCUUCUACACUAGACUCUAUGUAUCAUGUGCUCACGCAUUCUGAGGUACCAAUGAAUAAUAACAGAAAAUUCUGGAAGUCAAAUAUUCCACUAAAAGUUAAAAUCUUCAUGUGUUGUUUUCGUAGGGGAUUUAUCCUAACCAAAGACAACCUCGCACGAGCAACUGGCUAGGGAGUAAGAAGUAUUGUUUUUGUACUGAUGAAGAGACAAUCAAACAUCUCUUCUUCCAAAGCAAGUUUGCACGUUCUACGUGGUCAGUCAUCCAAAUAGCGUCAAAUUUGUUUCCGCCCACAAGUGUAGCCAAUAUUUUUGGUCACUGGUUGGACGGUAUUCCAAAUAGGUUCAAAAUGCUAAUAAGGGUGGGAGUGUAUGCCUUACUAUGGUCGCUUUAGCUAUGUAGAAAUAAUUUAAUUUUCAAUAACAAAAAUGCUUCUCCUUUGCAUGUUAUUUUCCGCACUCGCUUAAUACGUGGUCUACGCUACAACGAGUGGAGUACCAACCGGUGUUUAACUUGUGUACGCGGUUGAAGCAACUGUCUACAUAAGUUUUUACCCAACAUAGGUGGCAACAUAAUCUCCGGAUUGAUCCAUCAUCCCUUUUGACAUAGGCAUAGUAUCGGUCUAUAUGACUCUACUCUCGCGAUUUGUCGUUUUUUUUUCCUUUUUGUGAGACUUUACGUGUUCGGCUGUGCGCAUCGUAGUUAUGCAGAGGCCGGAUGUUACUCGUAAUGACUUGUAUUUGCUUGAUGAUAUAUUUAAAGAUAAUAAAAACACCCUUUAUCAAAGAAAAGGAACUAAUCAAGUGUCCCCUAUCUGCCUGUUACCAAAUGACUACAUGAAUUAGAACCAUAUAAUACAUCAAACAAUUUUUAAUACAUGCAGGUAGUUGGCGAGUCUAGCAGCAAGAAGUUUGCCGCUCUGGAUAAAUGACUAUUUUUUUUCUUCAGUAAAAGAAAAUGUCUAUUUUAGAUUGGAAUGUCGUCGUCAGCAAACUUUGCCCUGCCAUAAUUCGUGCUCUUUUUCUACUAGGGUCAACAGCCCAUCCCGGUAAAAAAAAAGUGUUGCAGUUCUUUGUUUUGUUUGUUAGAUUAUAAUCGUAACAAGUUAAAGGUAAAUGCUUGGAAACGGCGCGCCGGCCGAACGACGCGCCGCUCGUCUCCACACACACGCGCUAUCCCCUUCUCAGACAGCCACGUGGCAUGCGUUAUGGUCAUGCAACAAUUUUUUCUGAAAUUUGCUACAUUCGUUCAUUAAAAAGUUGCAUACAUGUUUGGUUUGAACCUCAGUUCGUCGGAUUUUUUGCUACAGCCGGUAUUGUUUUGCUACAACCGUGUUAACUUUUGCUACAACCGGCAUUAUUUUUUGCUGCAACCGUUCAUUAAAAAAGUUGCAUACACGUUCACGUAGAUAUUUGUCAAAACCGGCGUUUGACUUUUGCUACCACCCACCAUCAGCUUCGUUUUUUGCUACGAUCACGUAGAUAGUGUCUUUGCUACAAAUUUUGUUUUUUGUUGCAACCGUUGAAAAAUUUGCUGCAUCGCGUCGAAAUUUUGCUGUAUCGAAAAGAAAAAUGUUGCAUGAAGAUCCAACGGUGCGGACGCGCGGGGGUUGGUGGAUCAUGCGGUCCGCGCGCGGCCGGUCGAAAGUUUCGGUCGGUGCGACGACGCAGAGCACUGCGCCAAGUUAAAGUACUAGUUUGCGUAGGUUUUCCUAGUUGACUGGCGUUAGAAUUAGUAACUGUGAUCAGGCUUUCCGGGUGAUUAAUUAGUUUUCGGAAAUUUCCUGCAUGGCUUGGCAUGUGGGCAGCGGAAUUUUGUCUGUGGCCUUGUGGCCAGAAAGAAUCUUGCGCUUAUGCAUUGUAUUAUGCUCGAACGAAGCCACUGCAACUGGAUAAUACUUAAUUAAUUAUUCCCUCUCAAACCAGCUUGUUGAAAAAUUAACUAACCAUUUCGUUAGUUAGGACAAAUGCUGAUCUCUUUACACCAGAUAGCCAACCUGUGCUCUGUCUCGGAAGUGAUAAAACAAACUUUGUCUUAGUUUAAACCCGGGGGUCUAUUUAUUUCAAAUAAAAGGAAUAAUCUAUCUUGAUGGAUGAUGGCGUGAAUCAGGCCUCUAGUUUGGAGUAGCAAUUCUGUCUUGGCCUGGAAAGCAAGCAUGAUCAACGGUGGCAAUGCCAACAUGAUUUGUACACUAUAUAUAUAAAUCAGAUCAUGAUAACCUCCCCAGUCCCCACAACAGUGUAGUGCACUGCUUUCCGCAUCCCAUCUUCCAUCCUCCCCCUGAUUUUACCAUGGAGAACAUCCUUCAUGCAACCCCAGCUCAUGUGUCCCUCCCGGAAAGCUUCGUCUUCGCUUCCGACAAGGUCCCGCCGGCCACCAAGGCUGUCGUCUCGCUGCCCAUCAUCGAUCUCUCAUGUGGUCGUGAUGAGGUCCGCCGUUCGAUCCUCGAGGCCGGCAAGGAGCUCGGAUUCUUCCAGGCUAGUACAAACCAACCGAUCCGUUGUCAUCUUUGAAUGCAUGUUAAAAUCAGUCUAAGACUUUUUUUUGGGUUGUCAUGUAAAGCAGGUCGUCAACCAUGGCGUCUCCAAACAGGUCAUGCGGGACAUGGAGGGCAUGUGCGAGCAGUUCUUCCAUUUGCCGGCAGCAGUCAAGGCAUCGUUGUACUCGGAAGAGCGACACAAGCCAAACAGGCUCUUCUCCGGUGCUACCUAUGACACGGGGGGCGAGAGAUACUGGCGGGACUGCCUCCGCCUCGCCUGNNNNNNNNCUGCCUCCGCCUCGCCUGCCCCUUCCCAGUUGACGACAGCAUCAACGAAUGGCCCGAUACUCCCAAAGGGCUCCGGUAAAGAAUGACAUAUAAUAUCUACAAUCAAUAUUUAUCAAACUGUAUCCCCUCAAAAACGGAAAAAAA